UGCACCUGGCGCAGGUUGUCGAAGCCGAUGACGCGGACAUAGGCGUCAGGGUACUCCUUCUUGACCUCCUCCACCUCGUUGAGCACCUGCGUGGCGUCGGUGCACCCGAACAUAGGCAGCUUCCACAUUGUCCAGUAUCGACCGUCGUAGUACCCGGAGGAGCUGUUGUGCUCACGGAAGACGAAGCCAACCUUGCUGAACUCGAGGCAGGGCACCCACUUGGAGCGGAUCAGGUAGUCGACCUGCUUCAGGAGGGCCUCCGUGGAGAGGGGUGGCAAGUAAGACAGGGUCUCGAACUUCUUGAUGCCCUCAAUCGGCCACACCUGAAUGAAUGGAAAUUGUGGAAUGCACACAACUGCUUAACACUUGGUGCUAGUAAAUUGUACGUACAGAGGAAGAAACUCAUAUCAGUUUUGUGCCUCGAGUCUCGACAUACCUGCAUGCACCUGAUCCUUCCGCCAUUGCUGACGCGGCCGAGGCUGCCGCUGGAGCGGCGGCUGACGGGGAGACCGGCUGUGGACUUGAGCCCCUGGAAGGGUGCGACGGUGGUAGCCGACGAAGCCAUCACGGCGGGGGCCAUGGUAUUGUAUUAUCGGAGGAGAGGAGGAUGCCGGCUACAGGUGAGGCCACCAUUGCCGGGUCACUACGGUAUAUAUAGCCAGACACUUAGCGUCGUUUCUUUGGUACAGAUGUGGUUGGGGUGGCUGACGUUCUCUGGUUGCCUCGUUUCCUUAUCUUCUCCGGAUCAGUGGAAGAAGCAUGGCCGUCGGAUGCGUUGUGUGUGCUGGAAAUUUCAGUCCUUCAUGUCAUUGGCUGGCUGCCACACAACCUUUUUCCAGCUUUUCUUGUUUUUGGUUUCAUUUAAAGCCAAAAGUUUCUUGAGUACAAAUUUUCUGAGAUGCGACUUGAGUGGUGCGGGCAAAAUAUUUUACAUUUUAUCAUAAGAUCUGAUGGCUCACUCUCUCGAAAGUAUGCCCAUAGGCGUAGAGUGUGCGUGUGUGCAUUUAUAGGGGUUGUUGUACAUGUGUGUAUGUGAACGUCUACAUUUGUACACCGUUUCUCAAAAUAAAAUAUAUGUUUUGUUGGUACAAUUAAUUGAACUAGCAUAGUAACCGUCCACACGCAGAACAAGUUCUUUCCCCUCUCGCAAGGCAACUAUUGAAAGCUUUCCAGCCCUCUAUAUCCGCCAGUGAGCCCGUGGAUCCGCCUCCCCUCUGCCGGAAGGGGGAUUCCUGGUGCCUCAGCUCUGGCUAGUAGAUAAGUAGGGUUUUUAGUCCUCAUAGGUGAGGCUCUUGGACGGAUGGCAGCCCUUCUUCUUCGAGCCAAUCUUUCGGGAUCCGAUCCUCUUCAAGUUCCUCUGUCUAGGGAGCUCCGACGUAGAUUCUUGCCAGCUCCUCAGGCGGCGAGGUUAGGAUUUCUCGUCAUGCGUAUGCACAAUGAAAUUUGUGUCAGGUUCUUUAGAUCGAUUCAGGGAUUCAACGGCGGCGACUGCGGCUCCAGAGCACUAGUCCUUAGGGGCACGUGCAUGAAGACUUCCUGGCUGUCAUCGACAAGGUCAAGGUAGCUCUAGAGUGGGAGCAACGACAACGGUGCUUUAGUGGCUCGUCUCUAUGCGUAGGAACGAAAAGAAAGCCCUAUAUCUCGACUUUUUGACAACUCUCUGUGACAAUGGGAUUGAGCUACUCCAUACCUUGUUUUAAACACUACUGGGUAGGAACGAAAAGCUCUAUAUCUCAACUAUUAACACAUAUGGCUAAAUCUGUACCUUGAAUUAUAGGAUAUGCCAAUCGGUCAGUGGUGGGCGGUCUCUCACAUACAUUGUCUCUCAAGUAGGGCUGCAAAUGAGACGAGUUCGAGCGAGUUGGACUUGACUCAGCUCAACUCAUAUUAAAAUUCGAGCAAGCUCAAACUGAGUGAAGCUCAAGGUCAAGCUGUAGAACAUGACUCAUGCUCAACUUGUAACGAUCUCGAGUCGAUCUCGAGCUAGUUUCGAGUUAAAUGAGAUGAUAAAAUUUAUAAAUUUUAUGACCAUUAUUCCAACUAGAUAAGCACAACAUGACAUAAAAAAGCACAAAAAAUAUUAUUCCAAUCAGAACAAUGAUAAUACAAUUUUCUUUUGAAAUGAUACAAAUUUUGUUAGAAGUAGUUUAACUUAUUCUAUCACAACCGAAAGUCUAGUAUCAACGUAAGAUAACGAUUCACGACAUAUAUAUAAUUGCGAAAACGAAGGUGCAUAUGCUGGGAACUUUUGCUAGAAACAACAAAAUAUUUAACACAUGGUCGACCACAUACCAUAAUAAGGCCUAAAUUUUCUCUACAACUAAUUAAGCUUCGAUGUUUGUUUGUAAAUGAAAUGGAGAAAAAUCCUGGAUGGCACAUAUGGUAUUAAAUUAUCAUAUUUUCAUUUAUUAUAUGGCAUGAUCAUUUAACAUAAUGAUAUUAUGCCGAGCUAUCGAGCUAAAACCGAGCGAGCCAGUAUUGGCUCAAGAUCGGCCCGUUUCUCGACUGAGCUAUAGAAAGUGUUUGUACUCAACUCGUUUCUUUUCAAGUCGAGUCAAAAAUCGAGUCGAUCUCGAGCCGCUCACGAGCCUCAAGCUUUUCUUACAGCCCUACUCUCAAGCAGUGUCAUGUUGAGACAACUCAAUCAUCCUACUUUCCAUCCCAUAUGAGCGGCAGAUAACGGAAAGACAUUAAUAUCACAAGGCCUGGACCGGAGGCAAUAAGUUGUAUGGACAACCAUGAAGCCUAGAAUAAUUAUGUUCCUCUCAUGAUAUCGAUGCCCUGGCACCUGGAGGUCUCUCGAUUUGCGCCUCGAGUUGAACUUCUCCAACUACACCAAUUGAUCGGAUGGCUCCAAUCACUAAAUUACCGCAAGAGUAAAUAAUACCAUGAAGAGGAAAAACAGGAAUAGACGAUGCAUAUCAAAUAACCGCUUACUAGCUGACCGACCCAUAGCCAACGAUUACUCAAAUAACAUCACAUAUAAAAGGGUUUAAGAGUUGUUACAACCCAUUACGGAGACUGUGAUGGGGGACGAGAAGGGGUAUGGGUGAGGGCGGAGUGGCGACGGCGGCGCUUCUCCAGCAUUGCCUCCUUCAAGGUUGCAAUGAUGGAGAUGGAGGCUUGGCACAGCCCUCAAGUGUUUUUUUAUGUCGAUGGCAGCUGGACGUAUGGAUCGUGUCCCCGAGUGGCUAGGGUUGGAGGUGUAUUUAUAAGAACUCUCCCAAAGCCUCCUUCGUUGAUGUAGCAUCUCUACUUUGAUCCAAGUGCUCUACGUGAGCCAAAUAUUUCCCAAAACCUCCCUUGAUGGCAAAGAAAGUAGUAGGAACGAACCGGGACAAAAUCCUCAAAGAAUCCCCGUCUGAAAGGGCAACUUUCGGGCUUGUCUAGGCGUAAUACGAGCACUGGUACAUCCUUUUUUUUAUGUAUCAAAGGUCGUUGAACGCUUUGGACUCUUUGGUAAAACCGCCGUAACUUUUACAUCCGGACUCUAUUUUUGACGUUCAUGUGCUCGUUGGAAUCACGAUAACGGCGCCGAUGCACCUGUGGUAUUACAUAUUGAUUUUGAGCACUUUGGAAAACAACUUUUUUCACUCUCCGAAAUGCCCAAGUCUGGUGUCUCGAUGUCCUUCGUUUGGAUCCUUUUCAUUGUGUUAAGUGCGUGAGAGUUCCACAUUACGUACAAACACACAAAGAAAAAUAAUACUAAUAAGAAUAAAUAUUAUGCAAUGCUCGCGCUGAAAAUGUUAAAUACUGCCAUACUGGAGAUCAUGCAUAUGGACAUGCAAUUGUGGCUCAAUGGCACAUGCUAUACGGAGAUAAUAGGCGACAAAUGAGCUCUAAACGUGUGUAAAAAUAGGUGCCAUCACUUGGAUCAACGAGAUAUUAUCUUGUGGAACACCUUCCAUCCUUUUGAAGGGUGUGCCUAGUAGGUAAUUCCAAUGAAAACAUGGGAUCCACCAGGGUGACCCACCGUUACCACUUCUAUUUUUCUUGGCAGUGGAUUUACUUCAGUCUAUCCUCAGUGACAUGUAUCAUCGUGGGGAGCUCUUUUUUUCAACCCAUCUCAUGAUCUAGACUCUCCAAUUGUGCAGUAUGUUAAUGAUAUGUUGUUGAUUAUGCUGGAUAUUGAUUCUCAGCUUAUUGACCUAAAAGAAAUGUUACAACUUUUGUCUAAAUCCACUUGCUUGAAAGUGAUUUUUUGUAAAUCCUCCAUGGUUCUUAUAAAUGUGAUUGACGAUGAAGCUUCUCAUUGUCCAGUUUGUUUGAGUGUUAACAGGGUAAGAUGCCUUUCACUUACCUGGUUUACCUAUGGUUAACACUAGGCCCAAGAUCUAGGACUUAAUGCCUUUGGUUGAUAUAAUGAAAAUGAAAUUGGCAGCUAGCUCUUCUAUGCUCUCACAAGGUGCUAAAUUGAAACUUUUGAGGUCUGCCAUUUCAUCUAUGCCGAUAUACUAUCUUUGUAGUCUCUAGACUCCCCCUGGAAUUAAACAACUGGAGAGAAUUGAGUAGAAUAUCUCUGGCGUGGCAAUGCUGAUAGCUCAAAUCAACCAUUCGUGAUAUGUCAUCUGGUAUGUAAACCAAAGGAGAAUGGUGGUAUCGGUAUCAUUAACCGUCAUAUUCAAGACCAACCUUUGCUUACAAAACACUUGCGCAAAUUUCAUAAUAAAGCUCAUAUUCCAUGGGUAACUUUGAUAUAGAUUUCUUACUAUCAUGGAGUCAUACCCGACGCAACAGUCCUUUGUGGCUCUUUCUGAUGGAGGGAUAUUUUGGAACUUAACGAUCAGUACAUGGCAAUCUCUUCAAUCAAAGUUAAUAUUGGCAACUUUGCCUUGUUCUUGUCUGAUGCUUGGUUGAUUGAGGGAUUUUCUCUACCUCUUCGACAUCGUUUGGAUAGGCUCUUUUCAUUGCCUUGGAUGACAAAAUUUCUGUUAAAGAUUUUAAAGAAACCCCUGAUCGGGCCACUCUUUUGCACCAGCCAUUUUUUGCUGAGGCGAUGGAUGAAUCGCAACCUCUGGAUGGUUGGUUACACAGCCUUCAGCGAAACCAAACCCUGCCUGAUGUUUGUUCUUGGUAAGGAGGGUCAUUUUCCGCCAAAAUCUUCUACUGCAUGAUGCACAAGCAUAUGCCCACCGAUGAACCUUGCAAAUGGAUAUGACAGAGCACCAUGAAGAUCAAGAUCUUUGCUUAGAUCCUAUUAUUUUAUCAGUUGAACGCUCGGAACAUGCUCCUUAGAAGGCACUGACAUUCUCCUCGGGAUGAAACCCAUUGUGCUCACAUGAGCAAAGAGACCACUUGCUUUUCUCCUAUAAUUUUAGUCAAAGGAUUUGGACUUAUUUACAGAUUGAUUGGAGCCCCAGACGAAACACUAGACAAUGUAUUGAUGCUGCAUGUAGACGAUUUGGACACCCUUUCUUCUUUGAAGUGGUGUUCUCUUGGAACUAAUAUUUGUAUUAUUACAAAUGGCAAGAUCUUCACAGGGGAGAGGCCAUCCUUUCCUGCUUGGUGUUGUAAAUUUGUACAUGACAUCUCUUCUUGUAGAUAGAGUUAAUGCUUACCAAAGCUCCUGGAUUGGAUUAGUAAUCUCCAUUAGAUAAAUAGGUAGGUAGGAAAGUGUUGUUUUUCCUUUUUUCUUGGUUCCCUUUGUAAACAUUUUUUGCUUGCUUUUGUUUUGAUGGAAUAAAGGACUGGAGCUGUUGCUCCAUACUAGUUACAAAAAUCCGAGUUUUUUCUUGAUUUUUCACUAGUAUGAUUACACUCCUUCACAAAGGAGCUCAUGCAAUGCAUGUUGGAGAUUUAUUUCAAUAGUUCCAUAACAUGUUUUGAAUGCUGUUGCUAUCUAGUUCAGUUAGAUGCUUAUUGUCCAGACCAACAAAAGUUCUUUAGUAAGGGUCUCUACAAGAAUAUGUUUCAUCCUAGUCUACUAGCAAAAACCGAUGUAGAUGCUGGUAGUGACAUGGAAAAGAAACCAUAAUCUUUUUGUAUUGAUAAGUAAAGAAACUGAAAUUUGCAACUGCAAAUCAGGGGAUCUUAAUGUCAAAUACUGAAUGCUUCCACAACUAGUUGUGAGACAUAUUCAUUGCAGUGCCAAAUAAAGAAACUUUUCCUGAAUUAAUAACAGCAAGACAAUGGUCCGCGUGUUUGUAUAUAAUAAAUAUCACACAGGUUUUGUAUAUGUGUAGCCGGUUCUAGAAUUUACAUAUGCAUGCUCGAGAACCUAUGUUCGUACAUACACACACAGACCAUAUAGAAUGAAAAAUAUGCUCUGGUCGUCCAGCAGAGUGGUGGACAAAAGUUAAGUUCACAAAAGACCUUCAUACAUAGGCCAUUGUUUCAACUCGUAGUUUAGGCCUUGCCAGACUCCUCGCAACCCGGUGGCCUGAAGGCGAUGAAGCUGACGCACUGCACCUGGCGCAGGUUGUCGAAGCCGAUGACGCGGACAUAGGCGUCAGGGUACUCCUUCUUGACCUCCUCCACCUCGUUGAGCACCUGUGUGGCGUCGGUGCACCCGAACAUAGGCAGCUUCCACAUUGUCCAGUAUCGACCAUCGUAGUACCCGGGGGAGCUGUUGUGCUCACGGAAAACGAAGCCAACCUUGCUGAACUCGAGGCAGGGCACCCACUUGGAGCGGAUCAAGUAGUCGACCUGCUUCAGGAGGGCCUCCGUGGAGAGGGGUGGCAAGUAAGACAGGGUCUCGAACUUCUUGAUGCCCUCAAUCGGCCACACCUGAAUGAAUAGAAUGCGCAGAUGCUCAAUACUUGGUGCUAAGUAAAUUAAUUGUACCAACAAUUCUAGAAAAAUCUGUUGAUGAGCAAAAAAUUGCUCCUGAUGGACAGGUCUCAUAUGCAUUGUUCGUUUGUCCACAAUGAAGAAAGCUUAAGGGUAGCCCUUAAACUGAUGGGCACUCUGAAGGUACUAAGAUAAUUUUAUCUAGUCCAUGCUGCAAUAAAAAGUAUUUCCAUUCACUAAGUUAUGAGUUGAUUGCUUUUACAUACGGAUCCCAGCUUAGGGACAAGGUUGAAUGAGCAUCCAAAGCCAAAUGGUUUCCAUAGGCAACAAAACAAACAGAUAAUAAGGUUUCGGAAUAAUCUGUUGACCAAAUUAUGUUAUAAAUUGGGGAUGUUCUGCAAGUGAAUUACUUGUACUGCCAAAGAAACUCAUGUCAGUUUAAUUAGUGACUGACAUACCUGCAUGCACCUGAUCCUUCCGCCGUUGCUGACGCUGCCGAGGCCGGCGCUGCUGGAGCGGCGGCUGACGGGCAGGCCCGCGGUGGACUUGAGACCCUGGAAGGGUGCGACGGAGGUGGCCGAGGAAGCCAUCACAGUGGGGGCCAUGGUGUUGGAGGAGGGAAGGUGGCAGGCUAAGCUUGAGGCCCCCAUUGCUGGGUCACCACGGUAUAUAUAGCCAUAUAUGGCCAGCUCCUAUCUUUAAUCAAGAUGUGGAAGGGGUGGCUGGCGUUCGUUGGUUGCCUGGUUUCCUUAUCUCUCCGGAUUAGUGUAAGAGGCAUGGCCGUUGGAUGAGUUGUGUGUGCCGAAAAUUUCAGUCGUCCAUGCCAUUGUGUGAUUGCCACAAACCCUUUUUCCAGCCUUGCAUGUACUGUAUUAUUCUUUUCGUUUUAUUUUGCUAAAGGUAACGCUUGAAAGGUGCAGGAAGAACUUCCUUUGCUGAUUUGCGAUUUAAGUUGAGUGGCACAGGCAUAACGAAUGUUAUAGUACAUCCUUUAUCCACUUCUAUAAUACAAACUUGUCAAUCAAUUAUGCUUGCUUGUAACCUUUGGCGCUUCAUUUUAUAAAAUUUUAUACAGGUAACGUACACAUUUGCUGCAUGUGUGAUGUGUGUCAUCAUGACCUUUAUGUCUUUUAUUCACAAUUAUUCAUUGGAACACAAAAGUGUUGUACUGUUUUCUACGCCUAAUCAUUUACAUGCCCUGGAGGAUUUUUAGUAUUGGAAAUGCUAUUUAAUUGGGUGUCCAAGCAAGGUAGAACUUUGUUCUAAUCCACGAGCAAAAGUUUUAGAUCCCUCUGUUGUCCAUUUACUCAGUUCGUGUCGGCCCCAGUGAACUCAUAAAUUACAUAUGGUGAGUCCAUCAUGAUUUUGUAUCAUCGUUGAAUCUAGCCCACAAAAAAGGCAGAUGUAUAUUCAUUCAUUUCAUGGUGAUGAAGCAACCUGCAAAAUGAUGCGAUCGACCAUGACCACUCAGUGAUAUGGCAAUCAUGUAGACGGACAUUGUGAUCAUCUAGUCAUUUAAGAUAGAUGUCGUGAUCUUCUUGUGUGACCGUCUCAUAGAUUUGAGCUGCAAAUCGAAUCUUAUAUUCUUCCAAAAAAAAUUCUGAAUUUCCUGCAUGUAAGAUGAUAAAGCUGAGUUUGUAAUUAAUUAUUUUUUGUGAAUCCUUAAUGAUAAUUAACACGACCCAGAUAUUACAAAAUAUCCAUAAUUAUCAUGACUGAAUCAAUAAAUUACUAUUGCAGAAUGAACCUUCCAUAGGCCCCUCCACUUGGGCCCGCCGGUGGAGAGAUUCAUCACUCAUGGGCCACAAAACGCCAGCCAUGCAGGAGGACCUUCACUAACGGGCCCUUAAGUUGGCAUCAAUGGAGGGUCACCCAUGGGGCCCAUAGAUCCAACUGAAUGGACGGUCCAUCUCUACUGACGGUCGUACCACACCACUCGUCAAUGUUGGGUGGCCCGUCGGUGCUGAAUUAAGGUAUUUCUAUCUACUGGAGACGAAGUGGCCUUAUAUGCGCUUUCUCUUUUCUCCUAAACAAAACCAUGCCGCCGCCCCCAAUCCCUUCAUCCCCAACAUCAUCACCACCCUAUCCAAUGUUUUCGUCUCCUUUCAUGUGUGCCCCCUCCUUCUCCCACAUUGAUCUGGUCCAACGCUACCGUCUCAUCCCGCGAUUAUCGUCAUCUACUCUUCGGUUACUCGUGACGGCGCGGGUUGUGGCUUCCCGCUUGCUCUCUCGUAAGAAUGGUUGGGUAAACCCCAAGUGUAAGGAUGAAGUAACCUAGUAAUAAGUAUUGUCCUCAAUACGUUUCUCAAACCAGUAGGAAUUUCUUCUACAACCCAAAUCCUCGGUACCUGCACACCAAACACAAAACAAUCUUGCCCCAACGUUUCAAGAAGGUUGUCAAUCUUCUUGUCCUACUAGUUACAAGGAUUAGUUGUUAGUUGAAAGCAAAUAUCGGUUGCUAAGUAGCCUUAGUGCGGUUCGCACCUUUAGACCUGCCAUGGCACUGUCAACACUAUACUCGCCAUGCUUAGGGUUCACACUUUUUAUAUACACCAAGAUCAGCCUAGGUGCUUCGUGUCGUACUAGCACUAAUCCAGCCAUCAAUAUAAAGGAAAUGCUACCCAUAGUUCCAAAGCUUAGUUAUUCAAAUAUGAGUCAGAUAUGGUACUAAUAUUAGUUUAAAAAAGGCACAUGUAGUUGGUCAGCCAAUGUUCCUUCUUGAGUUUCAAAAUACACGUACGCCACUUAAAGAGAGACAUGAGUGAAUAGUAUUUCUUUGUGCCAUCUUCUCCAUCAUGGAUGGGCAACGAACAUUGCGUUGUAUAGAAAGAAGAGUUAUAUCCACCUUUUACAUAGAUUAUGAUUUGCCUAAUUUCGAAGCUUAUUUGUUCAAAUAUGAGUUUGAUAUGGUACUGAUAUUAAUUAAACAAACACACAUUUAAUUGUCAGCUAAUGUUCCUACUUCAGUUUUGAAAUGCAUGUCCGCCCCUUAUAGAGAGACAGAAGAGGUUUGUAUUUCUCCAGGCGCUCUGGUCAUCAUGGUUGAGGGAUGAACUUUGUAUAUCGUAUAGGUUGAAGCUAUCAUCUGCCAACAAUCAUCACUUUUGGAGAUCUCAACAGGGAGCCUUUUUUAAGUAGUAGGGUCAUAUUAUAUUAAUGCACGCACCAAAUUACAACACACAUAGCAUCCCUCGGCAGACUUCUAGAGAUAGUACGCAUGGGUCUAUAAGGACGCACUAUUGGGGUAGAAUCCGCAAUGCAUUUGUGACACCCCGAUUGAGAGAACCGGAGGUCCUCGUGUUCCAGCCCAGAGAUCCAUGUCUUCUGGAACAUGACUAUAACUUGGUACAUGUAGACCAAAAUAAAUAAGUACUUAUGUACAAUAGCGUCUUAAUAGUACAAUCCUCUUGCACAGCAGGUGGACACGUCUAAGUGUCAGAAGCUCAAGGGCUUUAUUCUAUGAGUGACUUAAGGAAGUACUAAAGACGGAAAUAAUACUAAUGACACAACGGAAGACGGGGUACCGGCGGGGCUCCAAUCCAAAGAGACACUGCUGGGACACCAUCUAGUCCAGGUACAUGAACUCUUCGGGAAACUCUUCUAUUGGCUCUCCAGUAUCUGGAAUGAUAAGGCAGGUGAGUACUUUGAAUGUACUCACAAGCCCACAAAUAAUCCAAAGCAAGCAAGAACAGAACAAAUAAACAUAGCAACGAAGUAAAGAUUAGUGAAGCUACUACUAUCAAGACUACUCCAUAAACUUCUCAUUUGCUUGUUUAACGUCCACUGGACCUCUUCCUGGUGAAGGAAAUAUGCCCUAGAGGCAAUAAUAAAGUUAUUAUUUAUUUCCUUAUAUCAUGAUAAAUAUUUAUUAUUCAUGCUAGAAUUGUAUUAACCGGAAACAUAAUACAUGUGUGAAUAUAUAGACAAACAGAGUGUCACUAGUAUGCCUCUACUUGACUAGCUCGUUAAUCAAAGAUGGUUAUGUUUCCUAGCCAUAGACAUAAGUUGUCAUUUGAUUAACGAGAUCACCUCAUUAGGAGAAUGACGUGAUUGACUUGACCCAUUCCGUUAGCUUAGCACCCGAUCGUUUAGUAUGUUGCUAUUGCUUUCUUCAUGACCUAUACAUGUUCCUCUGACUAUGAGAUUAUGCAACUCCCGUUUACCGGAGGAACACUUUGUGUGCUACCAAACGUCACAAUGUAAAUGGGUGAUUAUAAAGGUGCUCUACAGGUGUCUCCAAAGGUACUUGUUGGGUUGGCGUAUUUCGAGUUUAGGAUUUGUCACUCCGAUUGUCGGAGAGGUAUCUCUGGGCCCACUCGGUAAUGCACAUCACUAUAAGCCUUGCAAGCAUUGUGACUAAUAAGUUAGUUGCGGGAUGAUGUGUUACGGAACGAGUAAAGAGACUUGCCGGUAACGAGAUUGAACUAGGUAUCGAGAUACCGACGAUCGAAUCUCGGGCAAGUAACAUACUGAUGACAAAGGGAACAACGUAUGUUGUUAUACGGUCUGACCGAUAAAGAUCUUCGUAGAAUAUGUGGGAGCCAAUAUGGGCAUCCAGGUCCCGCUAUUGGUUAUUGACCGAAGACGUGUCUCGGUCAUGUCUACAUAGUUCUCGAACCCGUAGGGUCCGCACGCUUAAAGUUACGAUGACAGUUUUAUUAUGAGUUUAUGUAUGUUGAUGCACCGAAGGAGUUCGGAGUCCCGGAUGAGAUCGGGGACAUGACGAGGAGUCUCGAAAUGGUCGAGACGUAAAGAUCGAUAUAUUGGACGACUAUAUUCGGACUUCGGAAAGGUUCUGAGUGAUUCGGGUAUUUUUCGGAGUACCGGAGAGUUACGGGAAUACGUAUUGGGCCUUAUUGGGCCAUACGGGAAAGAAGAAAAAGGGCCUCAAGGGUGGCCGCACCCCUCCCCUUGGUCUGGUCCGAAUUGGACUAGGGAAGCGGGGCGCCCCCUUCCUUCCUUCUCUUUUUCCCUUCCUCUUUUCCUAUUCCAUAUGGGAGGUGGAAUCCUACUAGGACUAGGGAGUCCUAGUAGGACUCCACACUUGGUGCGCCCCCUCCUAGGGCCGGCCUCCUCCUCCCUUGCUCCUUUAUAUACGGGGGCAGGGGGGCACCCCAGAGACACAACAAUUGAUCCUUGAGAUCUUUUAGCCGUGUGCGGUGCCCCCCUCCACCAAAUUACACCUCGAUAAUAUCAUUGCGGAGCUUAGGCAAAGCCCUGCGUCGGUAGAACAUCAUCAUCGUCACCACGCCGUCGUGCUGACGAAACUCUCCCUCAACACUCGGCUGGAUCGGAGUUCGAGGGACGUCAUCGAGCUGAACGUGUGCAGAACUCGGAGGUGCCGUGCGUUUGGUACUUGAUCGGUCGGAUCGUGAAGACGUACGACUACAUCAACCACGUUGUGAUAACGCUUCCGCUGUCGGUCUACGAGGGUACGUGGACAACACUCUCCCCUCUCGUUGCUAUGCAUCGCCAUGAUCUUGCGUGGGCGUAGGAAUUUUUUUGAAAUUACUACGUUCCCCAACAGUGGCAUCCGAGCCUGGUUUUAUGCGUUGAUGCUAUGCACGAGUAGAACACAAGUGAGUUGUGGGCGAUAUAAGUCAUACUGCUUACCAGCAUGUCAUACUUUGGUUCAGCGGUAUUGUGAGAUGAAGCGGCCCGGACCGACAUUACGCGUACGCUUACGCGAGACUAGUUUCACCGUUCGGAGCACUCGUUGCUUAAAGGUGACUGGCGGGUGUCUGUCUCUCUCACUUUAGUUGAACCGAGUGUGGCUACGCCCGGUCCUUGCGAAGGUUAAAACAGCACCAACUUGACAAACUAUCGUUGUGGUUUUGAUGCGUAGGUAAGAACGGUUCUUGCUAAGCCCGUAGCAGCCACGUAAAACUUGCAACAACAAAGUAGAGGACGUCUAACUUGUUUUUGCAGGGCAUGUUGUGAUGUGAUAUGGUCAAGACAUGAUGUGAUAUAAUGUGUUGUAUGAGAUGAUCAUGUUUUGUAACCGAGUUAUCGGCAACUGGCAGGAGCCAUAUGGUUGUCGCUUUAUUGUAUGAGAUGCAAUCGCCAUGUAAUAGUUUUACUUUAUCACUAAACGGUAGCGAUAGUCGUAAAAGCAAUAAGUUGGCGAGACGACAACGAUGCUACGAUGGAGAUCAAGGUGUCGCGCCGGUGACGAUGGUGAUCAUGACGGUGCUUCGGAGAUGGAUAUCACAAGCACGGUGCUUCGGAGAUGGAGAUCACAAGCACAAGAUGAUGAUGGCCAUAUCAUAUCACUUAUAUUGAUUGCAUGUGAUGUUAAUCCUUUAUGCAUCUUAUCUUGCUUUGAUUGACGGUAGCAUUAUAAGAUGAUCUCUCACUAAAAUUUCAAGAUAAAAGUGUUCUCCCUGAGUAUGCACCGUUGCAAAAGUUCUUCGUGCUGAGACACCACGUGUUAAUCGGGUGUGAUAGGCUCUACGUUCAAAUACAACGGGUGCAAAACAGUUGCACACGCGGAAUACUCAGGUUAAACUUGACGAGCCUAGCAUAUACAGAUAUGGCCUCGGAACACAGAGACCGAAAGGUCGAGCGUGAAUCAUAUAGUAGAUAUGAUCAACGUAGUGAUGUUCACCAUUGAAACUACUCCAUCUCACGUGUUAAUCGGAUAUGGUUUAGUUGCUUUGGAUCACGUAAUCACUUAGAUGAUUAGAGAGAUGUCUAUCUAAGUGGGAGUUCUUAAGUAAUAUGAUUAAUUGAACUUAAAUUUAUCAUGAACUUAGUCCUGAUAGUAUUUUGCAAAUUAUGUUGUAGAUCAAUAGCUCGCGUUGUUGCUUCCCUGUGUUUAUUUUUUGUUCCUAGAGAAAAAUUAUGUUGAAAGAUGUUAGUAGCAAAGAUGCGGAUUGGAUCCGUGAUCUGAGGAUUAUCCUCAUUGCUGCACAGAAAAAUUAUGUCCUUGAUGCACCGCUAGGUGACAGACCUAUUGCAGGAGCAGAUGCAGACGUUAUGAACGUUUGGCUAGCUCAAUAUGAUGACUACUUGAUAGUUUAGUGCACCAUGCUUAACGACUUAGAAUCGGGACUUCAAAGACGUUUUGAACGUCAUGGACCAUAUGAGAUGUUCCAGGAGUUGAAGUUAAUAUUUCAAGCAAAUACCCGAGUUGAGAGAUAUGAAAUCUCCAACAAGUUCUAUAGCAAAAAGAUGGAGGAGAAUCGCUCAACUAGUGAGCAUGUGCUCAGAUUGUCUGGGUACUACAAUCGCUUGAAUCAAGUGGGAGUUUAUCUUCCAGAUAAAAUAGUGAUUGACAGAAUUCUCUAGUCACCAUCACCAAGUUAGUAGAACUUCGUGAUGAACUAUGGUAUGCAAGGGAUGACGAAAGUAAUUCCCGAGCUCUUCGUGAUGCUGAAAUCGAUGAAGGUAGAAAUCAAGAAAAACAUCAAGUGUUGAUGGUUGACGAGACCACUUCAAGUGUUGAUGGUUGACGAGACCGCUAGUUUCAAGAAAAGGGCAAAGGGAAAAAGGGGAACUUCAAAAAGAACGGCAAGCAAGUUGCUGCUCAAGUGAAGAAGCCUAAGUCUGGUCCUAAGCCUGAGACUAAGUACUUCUACUGCAAAGGGACUGGUCACUGGAAGCGGAACUACCCCAACUAUUUGGUGGAUAAGAAGGAUGGCAAAGUGAACAAAGGUAUAUUUGAUAUACAGAUUAUUGAUGUGUACUUUACUAGUGUUUAUAGCAAUCCCUCGGUAAUUGAUACUGGUUCAAUUGCUAAGAGUAGUAACUCGAAACGGGAGUUGCAGAAUAAACAGAGACUAGUAAAAGUGAACAAAGGUAUAUUUGAUAUACAGAUUAUUGAUGUGUACUUUACUAGUGUUUAUAGCAACCCCUCGGUAAUUGAUACUGGUUCAGUUGCUAAAGAGUAGUAACUCGAAAACGGGAGUUGCAGAAUAAACAGAGACUAGUAAAAGGCGAGGUGACGAUGUGUGUUGGAAGUAGUUCCAAGAUUGAUAUGAUCAUCAUCGCACACUCCCUGUACUUUUGGGAUUAGUGUUGACACUAAAUAAGUGUUAUUUGGUGUUUGCGUUGAGCAUGAAUAUGAUCUGAUCAUGUUUAUUGCAAUACGGUUAUUCAUUUAAGUUAGAGAACAAUUGUUGUUCUGUUUACAUGAAUAAAACCUUUAUGGUCAUACACACCAACGAAAAUGGUUUGUUGGAUCUCGAUCGUAGUGAUACACAUAUUCAUAAUAUUGAAGCCAAAAGAUGCAAAGUUAAUAAUGAUAGUGCAACUUAUUUGUGGUACUGCCGUUUAGGUCAUAUUGGUGUAAAGCGCGUGAAGAAACUCCAUACUGAUGGGAUUUUGGAAUCACUUGAUUAUGAAUCACUUGAUGCUUGCGAACCGUGCCUCAUGGGCAAGAUGACUAAAACGCCGUUCUCCAGAACUAUGGAGAGAGCAACAGAUUUGUUGGAAAUCAUACAUACAGAUGUAUGUGGCCCGAUGAAUAUUGAGGCUCGUAGCAGGUAUCAUUAUUUUCUGACCUUCACAGAUGAUUUGAGCAGAUAUGGGUAUAUCUACUUAAUGAAACAGAAGUCUGAAACAUUUGAAAAGUUCAUAUAAUUUCAGAGUGAAGCGAAAAUCAUCGUAACAAGAAAAUAAAGUUUCUACGAUUUGAUCGUGGAGAAGAGUAUUUUAGUUACGAGUUUGGCCUUCAGUUAAAACAAUGUGAAAUAGUUUCACUACUCACGCCACCUGGAACACCACGGUGUAAUGGUGUGUCCGAAACAUCGUAACCGUACUUUAUUAGAUAUGGUGCGAUAUAUGAUGUCUCUUACCGAUCUACCACUAUCGUUUUAGGGUUAUGCAUUAGAGACAGCUACAUUCACGUUAAAUAGGGUAUCAUCUAAAUCCGUUGAGAUGACGUCUUAUGAACUGUGGUUUGGCAAGAAACCAAAGUUGUCGUGUCUUAAAGUUUGGGGUUGCGAUGCUUAUGUGAAAAAGUUUCAUCCUGAUAAGCUCAAACCCAAAUCGGAGAAAUGUGUCUUCAUAGGAUACCCAAAGGAGACAGUUGGGUACACCUUCUAUCACAGAUCCGAAGACAAGACAUUCGUUGCUUAGUAUGGAUCCUUUCUAGAGAAGGAGUUUCUCUCGAAAGAAGUGAGUGGGAGGAAAGUAGAACUUGAUGAGGUAACUGUACCUGCUCCCUUAUUGGAAAGUAGUUCAUCACAGAAAUCUGUUCCUGUGACUUCUACACCAAUUAGUGAGGAAGUUAAUGAUGAUGAUCAUGUAACUUCAGAUCAAGUUACUACCAAACCUCGUAGGUAAACCAGAGUAAGAUCCGCACCAGAGUGGUACGGUAAUCCUGUUCUGGAGGUUAUGUUACUAGACCAUGACGAACCUACGAACUAUGAAGAAGCGAUGGUGAGCCCAGAUUCCGCAAAAUGGCUUGAGGCCAUGAAAUCUGAGAUGAGAUCCAUGUAUGAGAACAAAGUGUGGACUUUGGUUGACUUGCCCGAUGAUCGGCAAGCAAUUGAGAAUAAAUGGAUCUUCAAGAGGAAGACGGAUGCUGAUAGUAGUGUUACUAUCUACAAAGCUAGAAUUGUCGCAAAAAAGGUUUUCGACAAGUUCAAAGUGUUGACUACGAUGAAAGUUUCUCACUCGUAUCUAUGCUUAAGUCUGUCCGAAUCAUGUUAGCAAUUGCCGCAUUUUAUAAAAUAUGGCAAAUGGAUAAACAAAACUGCAUUCCUUAAAGGAUUUAUUAAAGAAGAGUUGUAUAUGAUGCAACCAGAAUGUUUUGUCAAUCCUAAAGGUGCUAACAAAAUAUGCAAGCUCCAGCGAUCCAUCAAUGGACUGGUGCAAGCAUCUCGGAGUUGGAAUAUACGCUUUGAUAAGUUGAUCAAAGCAUAUAGUUGUAUACAGACUUGCGGUGAAGCCUGUAUUUACAAGAAAGUGAGUGGGAGCACUACAGCAUUUCUGAUAAGUAUAUGUGAAUGACAUAUUGUUGAUCGGAAAUAAUGUAGAAUUAUUCUGCAAAGCAUAAAGGAGUGUUUGAAAGGAGUUUUUCAAAGAUAGACCUCGGUGAAGCUGCUUACAUAUUGAGCAUCAAGAUCUAUAGAGAUAGAUGAAGACGCUUGAUAAGUUUUUCAAUGAGUACAUACCUUAACAAGAUUUUGAAGUAGUUCAAAAUAGAACAGUCAAAGAAAAGAGUUCUUGCCUGUGUUACAAGGUGUGAAAUUGAGUAAAGACUCAAAGCCCGACCACGGCAAAAGAUAGGAAGAGAAUGAAAGUCAUUCCCUAUGCCUUGGCCAUAGGUUCUAUAAAGUAUGUCAUGCUUUGUACCAGAUCUAUUGUAUACCCUACACUGAUUUUGGCAAGGGAGUACAAUAGUGAUCUAGGAGUAGAUCACUGGACAGCGGUCAAAAUUAUCCUUACUGGAAUAAGGAUAUGUUUCUCGAUUAUGGAAGUGACAAAAGGCUCGUCGUAAAAGGUUACGUCGAUGCAAGUUUUGACACUAAUCUAGAUGACUCUAAGUCUCGGUCUAGAUACAUAUUGAAAGUGGGAGCAAUUAGCUAGAGUAGCUCCAUGCAGAGCAUUGUAGACAUAGAAAUUUGCAAAAUACUUACGGAUCUGAAUGUGACAGACCCGUUGACUAAAAUUAUCUCACAAGCAAAACAUGAUCACACCUUAGUACUCUUUGGGUGUUAAUCACAUAGCGAUGUGAACUAGAUUACUGACUCUAGUAAACCCUUUGGGUGAUGGUCACAUGACGAUGUGAACCAUGGGUGUUAAUCACAUGGUGAUGUGAACUAUUCAUGUUAAAUCACAUGGCGAUGUGAACUAGAUUAUUGACUCUAGUGCAAGUGGGAGACUGAAGGAAAUAUGCCCUAGAGGCAAUAAUAAAGUUAUUAUUUAUUUCCUUAUAUCAUGAUAAAUGUUUAUUAUUCAUGCUAGAAUUGUAUUAACCGGAAACAUAAUACAUGUGUGAAUAUAUAGACAAACAGAGUGUCACUAGUAUGCCUCUACUUGACUAGCUCGUUAAUCAAAGAUGGUUAUGUUUCCUAGCCAUAGACAUAAGUUGUCAUUUGAUUAACGAGAUCACCUCAUUAGGAGAAUGACGUGAUUGACUUGACCCAUUCCGUUAGCUUAGCACCCAAUCGUUUAGUAUGUUGCUAUUGCUUUCUUCAUGACCUAUACAUGUUCCUCUGACUAUGAGAUUAUGCAACUCUCGUUUACCGGAGGAACACUUUGUGUGCUACCAAACGUCACAACGUAAAUGGGUGAUUAUAAAGGUGCUCUAUAGGUGUCUCCAAAGGUACUUGUUGGGUUGGCGUAUUUCGAGAUUAGGAUUUGUCACUCCGAUUGUCGGAGAGGUAUCUCUGGGCCCACUCGGUAAUGCACAUCACUAUAAGCCUUGCAAGCAUUGUGACUAAUGAGUUAGUUGCGGGAUGAUGUGUUACGGAACGAGUAAAGAGACUUGCCGGUAACGAGAUUGAACUAGGUAUCGAGAUACCGACGAUCGAAUCUCGGGCAAGUAACAUACUGAUGACAAAGGGAACAACGUAUGUUGUUAUGCGGUCUGACCGAUAAAGAUCUUCGUAGAAUAUGUGGGAGCCAAUAUGGGCAUCCAGGUCCCGCUAUUGGUUAUUGACCGGAGACGUGUCUCGGUCAUGUCUACAUAGUUCUCGAACCCGUAGGGUCCGCACGCUUAAAGUUACGAUGACAGUUUUAUUAUGAGUUUAUGUAUGUUGAUGUACCGAAGGAGUUCGGAGUCCCGGAUGAGAUCGGGGACAUGAUGAGGAGUCUCGAAAUGGUCGGGACGUAAAGAUCGAUAUAUUGGACGACUAUAUUCGGACUUCGGAAAGGUUCUGAGUGAUUCGGGUAUUUUUCGGAGUACCGGAGAGUUACGGGAAUACGUAUUGGGCCUUUUUGGGCCAUACGGGAAAGAAGAAAAAGGGCCUAAGGGUGGCCGCACCCCUCCCCUUGGUCUGGUCCGAAUUGGACUAGGGAAGGGGGGCGCCCCCUUCCUUCCUUCUCUUUUUCCCUUCCUCUUUUCCUAUUCCAUAUGGGAGGUGGAAUCCUACUAGGACUAGGGAGUCCUAGUAGGACUCCACACUUGGUGCGCCCCUCCUAGGGCCGGCCUCCUCCUCCCUUGCUCCUUUAUAUACGGGGGCAGGGGGGCACCCCAGAGACACAACAAUUGAUCCUUGAGAUCUUUUAGCCGUGUGCGGUGCCCCCCUCCACCAAAUUACACCUCGAUAAUAUCAUUGCGGAGCUUAGGCAAAGCCCUGCGUCGGUAGAACAUCAUCAUCGUCACCACGCCGUCGUGCUGACGAAACUCUCCCUCAACACUCGGCUGGAUCGGAGUUCGAGGGACGUCAUCGAGCUGAACGUGUGCAGAACUCGGAGGUGCCAUGCGUUCGGUACUUGAUCGGUCGGAUCGUGAAGACGUACGACUACAUCAACCGCGUUGUGAUAACGCUUCCGCUGUCGGUCUACGAGGGUACGUGGACAACACUCUCCCCUCUCGUUGCUAUGCAUCACCAUGAUCUUGCGUGUGCGUAGGAAUUUUUUUGAAAUUACUACGUUCCCCAACACCUGGCACGAGUCCUGCUCAAACGACUCAUCGACAUAACUUACCAGUUACCACAGCUAUUAGAGUUUAAAGUAAAGGAAUUUUGGUGCUUGGUCAAAUAAUGUGACCUAACACAAACGGUGUCCCAUUGCCAGGGACUCGGCUAUUCGAAUAGUUUGAACACACACUCUGUAGAGGUCACACAGUUUACCCACACCAUAGACUCUUUGUCUAACUAUUCUCAUUCAUAGCAUGGCACUCUAACUAUGCCUCCGACCUCCCGCGGGCUUGCCCUGGCAGAGAGAAUCUGGGUCCUUUCCACCCCGUGUUGCACCACUUGUAUUCCCUUGGGAAUCUUUUCUCUUAAGCUCAUCCACAGACCCUGGCUCUCUUGACUGAAUGGCAACUUCCAAGCCAGAGGAAGUCUACACAUUCCAUCUUCCCUCUUCGGAAACACACGAAAGAAACAUAACUACAAACGUAAUAAAGCCCUCCCAUUCGGACAGAUGUGCUUGUAAUGAGGAUGUUCGGCUUCGUGGCAGUUGGAUUGACCAGCUAUUUAAAGUUGGGUUAACAAGGAAAGUAAAACCGUGACUUUGUAAGCUACUGAAAUCCACAACUUGUUAUCCUACUAGGGUGAAGUAUUCACGAGGAUUCAUCAUCCUAAGUAAAGUCUUUCCCCGAGAUUCUUCGUGAACGUUGCUACCUAUUUUGCUUAUGAUUCAUGUUGGCAAAAUAAUUACCGGUUAUGAGUCAUAGUUAAACUUCUAUUCUACUAGGACCAAAUCAAGGCAUCCUUUAUAGUGACUCACUAUGCUAUUUCAACCACAACAAACUUAACAUAAGCAAAGGGAAGCAACAAACAACAUUGAAAGAAAAGUAAUGUUGGAAAAGAAAUGUAAGUUGAACCCAUGGCCUUGCAAUGCCAUCAAGCAAAUGGAGGUGGUGGCUUGCCAUGCUCAAAUGGAGUAGCAAAGCAUUCUUUGUCUUCACCUCCUGGAUUAUUUCCUUCUGGAAAUAAUUUAAAAAGCAAAAUACAAUAAAGCAAAUAAGUCAAAAGUGUGUCUAGCAGCAUCUAGACAAGUCAAAUAAAUCUCAAAUUAUUCCCACAGAAGGAGAAUAAUAUAAGAAAAGUAAUGCAAAAAGAAUAAACUCAUUUGGAGUUAUGGUUUAAGAGAUAUUACUCAUCACAGCUUAGUCAACAGAAUAUAAGUAAAACAAAAAAUAGCCUGAAAUAGAAAAUCCACCAAGCGGCCACGUCGAAGGCGUAUUUCAGAAAUACGCCCCCACUUACGUACCAGUUCGGCAGGGGUUGUAUCACUGACGGGUGGGGCCAUCCUGUCAGUUUUCUUUUUUAAACACCCGGCCGAGGUGUGGUGUUCUAGCGAGGUCUCACCGGCGACUACAGAGCGCUAGGGCUCGAACGAGUGGGAUCACCUUUUGAGAGGUAUACGCAUUUAUUGUGAUUUGUUAGAAUACUCUAUGUGCUUCACUUAUAUCUUUUGAGCUAGGCAGUUGCUCUGGUGCUUCAUUAUAUCUUUUAGAGCACCGUGGUGGUUAUAUUUUAUAGAAAUGAUUGCACUCUCAUGCUUCACUUAAAUCUUUUUGAGAGUCCAUAUAUAGGAAGUGGUAAUGUGCACGUGUUAUAAGACUAGUCCGAGAAGGAUAGGUAUUCAAGGGGGAUACAAUAAAAACUUUCAUGUAGAUCACUAAAUAUGAAAUGUAUAAUUUAAUGAUAUUGAUGUUGUAAUAUGAAAGGAUAUUAGUUCAUGAUCAUUGGUUAGUAGAAAUAUCAGUAUUAAAACUUGUUAUUAACUUCUCAAAUAAGUGUUGGUCAUGGCAUGGUGGCCAGGUUUGAGCAUUUGUAUUUCUGAUUGAAAUCCUUGAGUGCUAUUAUAAUCGGAUGCGCGCGAUGGUUAACUCCUACCAACAAAUUCCCUAGGGGCAUAUGUGAGUAGUACUUUGCUUAGAAGGAUAAUAGGAGUUCACAAUAAGUAUGUCAGUUCUUUAUGACUAAUGUGAGUCCAUGGAUUAUAUGCACUCCUACCUUUCCGCAAUUUGCUAGGCUCUGCUGUACCGUGCAUUGCCCUUUCUCACCUCGAGAGUUGGUGCACACUUCGCUGGUGCAUCCAAACCCCAUGGUAUGAUACGCUCUAUCAUACAUAAGCCUCCUUAUAUCUUCUUCGAAACAGCCGCCAUACCUACCUAUUAUGGCAUUUUCACAACCAUUCCGAGAUAUAUUGCCAUGCAACUUCCACUGUUCCAUUUUCAUAACAUGUGUGUUCAACGUCAUAUUGCUUUGCAUGAUCAUAUAAAGUUGGCAUGAUAUUUGUGGCAUUGUCACCGUUCAUCAUGAUUAUACAUGUUACGCUAGAUCAUUGCACAUCCUGGUACACUAUCAGAGGCAUUAAUAUAGAGUCAUAUUGUUCAAGUUAUCGAGUUGUAUGUAAAUACAAGUGUGAUGAUAAUCAUUAUUAGAGCAUUGUCCCAGUUGAGGAAACGAUGAUGGAGACUAUGAUUCCCGCACAAGUCGGGAUGAGACUCCGGACGAAAAAAAAGAGAGAAAAGAGAGAAGGGGCAAUGUUACUAUCCUUUUUUUUUGCAAGGUAAUGCUACUAUCCUUUUGAACACUUGUGCUUUAGAGUAGCACCAUGUUCUUCACAUAGAGAGUCUCCUGAGUUAUCACUUUCAUAUACUAGUCGUAUUUUUUCAUUAUAGAAUUUGACUUGCAUAUUCUGAUGAUGGGUUUCCUCAAAUGGCCGAGGCCUUCAUGAUCAAGCAAGUUGGAUGCACAUCCACUUAGUUUUCAUUGAGCUUUCAUACACUUAUAGCUCUUAGUUCAUCUAUUGCAUGGCAAUCCCUACUCCUCGCAUUGACAUCGAUUGAUGGGCAUGUCCAUAGCCCGUUGAUUAGCCGCGUCGAUGCGAGACUUUCUUCCUUUUCAACUUUCCUUAUUAAUCUUUAUCACCGCAUUCUAUUCAACUUAUAGUGUUAUAUCCAUGGCUCACGUUCAUGUAUUGCAUAGGAUUGAAAAUGCUGAAGCGCAUUAGAAGUACGAUCCAUUUGCCUUGUUUGACACCGGGGUGCUCAUGAUUUAUAUUUAUGCAGUGAAGGUGGGGUCAUGCCAUGCUAACAUAAUAAAAUGAGUGGGGAAAGCAUUCAUUGAGGAUUGUAUAUUUUAAAAGGUUAAUGAUUAUGUUUCUUAUAUUCAUGGAUAUUAUUAUGUUGACAUUGUUACUUCAUCGUUUCUCAAUAAUUAUACCGUAAAAAUAUUACAUGAUACACAUGUUAGGUAGCAUUUCACAUCAAAAAUUCUUUUUUUAUCAUUUACCUACUCGAGGACGAGAAGGAAUUAAGCUUGAGGAUGCUAAUACGUCUUCAACGUAUCUAUAAUUUUUGAUUGUUAUAUUAUCAAUCUUGGAUGCUUUAUAUGCUUUGUAUGCUAUUUUAUAUCUUUUUGGGACUAACGUAUUAUUUUGAAUAUUUUUUGAAUUGUUUGGAUUGCUUACCACAUGUGUCAUGUGGUUUGGGACUAACCUAUUAACCCAAUGCCAGUGCCAGUUACUGUUUUUUUGCUUGUUUUUGGCUUUUUAGAAAACCAAUACCAAACGAAGUCCAAACACAAUGAAACUUUACGGUGAUUUUUUCUGGACAAGAAGGGACCCUAAAAGGUUCGGGUGGAGGCUAGAAGAUCUACGGGAGAGCCACAAGCUCACAGGGUGCGCCCCCUGAGCUCAUGGGCCGCACGCAGCUCCAUUUGACCUAAUUUCACCUCCAUAAAUUCACAUAUAUUCCCAAACCAAUAGAGAGCCACCCGAAAUACUUUUUCCGCCGCCCAAGCUUCUAUUUUUCCGUGAGCCCAUAUGGAGGCCUUUUCCGGUACUCUGUCGAAGGGGGAAUCGAUCACAGAGCGCUUCUACAUCAUGCUUGCUGUCUUACAAUGAUGCAUGAGUAGUUCACGACAGACCUACGUGUCCAUAACUAGUAGCUAGAUGGCUUCUUAUCUCUCUUUGAUCUUCAAUACAAUGUUGUCCUCGAUCUUCUUGGAGUUCUUGUAAGUGCAUCUAGUGCCACCCCUAGUUGGUUUUGGAGUAUUGCCGACAAACUUGGUUGAGGGACUAAUGUGUUUGUGAGAAUUGCAGGAUAACACAGGUAGUAGUCCCUCAUUGAUUCGGUUUACCUACCAGAGAUGACCCCUAAAAAUGUGUGAAGACAUUGAAGACAAUGGUGGUCUGUGAAGAUAUUCACAUUGAAGACUAUGACAUGAGAAGACAUCGCAUGAAGACUAUGGAGUGCGAAGACAUAGUUGUUUCGUAGUUUCCUUUUCUUCUUUGUUGAGUCAUAGGAACCGCCGUACUGUUAAGUGGGGUCCAAGUGAACAAAGUCCGAGUGACUGAUGUGAUGCUCAACCAAAUCCUAUGUCUUCGAGCGAAGACAAUGAGUGCAAAUCUUAUCCAGAGUUGGAUGAGUCAGCUUUACUUAUAGCACAAGUCAAGCUGCCGCGUGUGUUUGAAAUCUGACUGUUGGACACGUGUCAGUUCCUUAGUGGCCCAGGGUCAUUUUGGACAAAUUAGGUCGGGUUGCCUCCUGGCUAUAAAUAGCCCACCCCCUACACCAUAAAUUGGUGGCUGCUCAUAGUUAGUGCACGGCUUUUGUCGUUUGAGAGCAACCCACCUCCGAAGCAUUUGAGAGAGAGAUCCUUGCGAGGACAAAGCCCAAAACACCCAGAGCCAAAGAGUGUUAGGCAUCACUGAAGUCUUUCUGUCCGCGUGAUCUGAAGACUUGUUACACUUGAGGACUGUGAAUCCUCCAGCCGGUUAGGCGUCGCGUUCUGAGCAUCCAAGAGUCAUUGUGGAUUGCCGGUGAACGAAAUCUAUGAAGGUUUGGAAGUCUACCUUGAAGACUUACCAGAGUGAUUGGGAGAGGACUAAGUGUCCUUAACUCAAGGGGAAUAAGGUGAAGACGCUUUCUUCUGAGUUAAAUCUCAGCCUCCCUAACCAGACGUACAGUUGUCACGGCAACUGGAACUGGUCCAACAAAUCCCUGUCCUCCCCAAGCAACUGGUUCUAUCUCUUAUCUCUCUUUACUUACAGUUUGUCUUCGUGAAGUCAUUACCUGCUUGCAUGAUCUGAUUGUCUUCACUGUGUGAAGACUGCUGUUGUUUGGCUUCAUACUAUCUUCCAUCCUGAUCCAUACUACCUAACUGCUGAUAGUCUUCGUGCUUUCACUUCAUUGCUUACUUGACUAUGGCUUGUCUAGUGUAGUCUACCUUCCGCUGCAUAUCAAUAGGUUCAUUUUUAUUGUUUGUCUUCAAAGCCCCUGUGUUUUGAAGACUUUCAUAAAAAUUGCCUAUUCACGCCCCCCCCCCUCUAGUCGAUAACUAGCACUUUCAGUUCUAUCCGAUGUAAUCUUCUUUUUGUUGGGGAACGUAGCAGAAAUUCAAAAUUUUCUACGCAUCACCAAGAUCAAUCUAUGGAGUACUCUAGCAAAGAAGGGAAGGAGAGUGGAUCUACAUACCCUUGUAGAUCGCGAUGCGGAAGCGUUGCAAGAACGCGGAUGAGGGAGUCGUACUCGUAGCGAUUCAGAUCGCGGUUGAUUCCGAUCUAAGCACCGAAGAACGGUGCCUCCGCGUUCAACACACGUGCAGCCCGGUGACGUCUCCCACGCCUUGAUCCAGCAAGGAGAGAGGGAGAGGUUGGGGAAGACUCCAUCCAGCAGCAGCACGACGGCGUGGUGGUGAUGGAGGAGCGUGGCAAUCCCGCAGGGCUUCGCCAAGCACCGCGGGAGAGGAGGAGGAGGGAGAGGGGUAGGGCUGCGCCAAAAGGAGACUUUCUCGUGUCGUUAUGGCAGCCCAAACCUCAACUAUAUAUAGGGGGGGAGGGGGCUGCGCCCCCCUCUAGGGUUCCCACCCCCAAGAGGAGGCGGCCAGCCCUAGAUCCCAUCAAGGGGGGGCGGCCAAGGGGAGGAGAGGGGGGGCGCCCCACUAGAUGGGCCCUAAGGCCCAUCUGGACCUAGGGUUUGCCCCCUCCCACUCUCCCAUGCGCCUUGGGCCUUGGUGGGGGGGCGCACCAGCCCACCUGGGGCUGGUCCCCUCCCACACUUGGCCCACGCAGCCUUCUGGGGCUGGUGGCCCCACUUGGUGGACCCCCGGGACCCUCCCGAUGGUCCCGGUACAUUACCGAUAACACCCGAAACUUUUCCGGUGACCAAAACAGGACUUCCCAUAUAUAAAUCUUUACCUCCGGACCAUUCCGGAACUCCUCGUGACGUCCGGGAUCUCAUCCGGGAUUUCGAACAACAUUCGGUAACCACGUACAUACUCUCCAUAUAACCCUAGCGUCAUCGAACCUUAAGCGUGUAGACCCUACGGGUUCGGGAACCAUGCAGACAUGACCGAGACGUUCUCCGGUCAAUAACCAACAGCGGGAUCUGGAUACCCAUGUUGGCUCCCACAUGUUCCACGAUGAUCUCAUCGGAUGAACCACGAUGUCGGGGAUUCAAUCAAUCCCGUAUUCAAUUCCCUUUGUCUAUCGAUAUGUUACUUGCCCGAGAUUCGAUCGUCGGUAUCCCUAUACCUUGUUCAAUCUCGUUACCGGCAAGUCUCUUUACUCGUUCCGUAACUCACAUCAUCCCGUGAUCAACUCCUUGGUCACAUUGUGCACAUUAUGAUGAUGUCCUACCGAGUGGGCCCAGAGAUACCUCUCCGUUUACACGGAGUGACAAAUCCCAGUCUCGAUUCGUGCCAACCCAACAGAUACUUUCGGAGAUACCUGUAGUGCACCUUUAUAGUCACCCAGUUACGUUGUGACGUUUGGUACACCCAAAGCAUUCCUACGGUAUCCGGGAGUUGCACAAUCUCAUGGUCUAAGGAAAUGAUACUUGACAUUAGAAAAGCUCUGAGCAAACGAACUACACGAUCUUGUGCUAGGCUUAGGAUUGGGUCUUGUCCAUCACAUCAUUCUCCUAAUGAUGUGAUCCCGUUAUCAACGACAUCCAAUGUCCAUGGUCAGGAAACCGUAACCAUCUAUUGAUCAACGAGCUAGUCAACUAGAGGCUUACUAGGGACAUGGUGUUGUCUAUGUAUCCACACAUGUAUCUGAGUUUCCUAUCAAUACAAUUCUAGCAUGGAUAAUAAACGAUUAUCAUGAACAAGGAAAUAUAAUAAUAACCUAUUUAUUAUUGCCUCUAGGGCAUAUUUCCAACACUUUUGUGGUGUGUUUGUUGGGAUCCGAUGAAUUGUGGGUUUAUGAUCAGAUUAUUCAUUGAAAGUAGUUGAGUCUUGUCUGAAUUUUAUUAUGCAUGAUUGUUAUAGCUUUGUAUUUCCCUCCGAUCUAUCUGUUUGGUUUGCCAACUAGAUUGAUUUAUCUUCAGUGGCAUACGUGCUUUGUAAUGGGUUCAAUCUUGCGGUGUCCUCACACAAUGAUAGAAGGGGAAGCGAGACACGUAUAAUAUUGUUGCCAUUAAGUAUAAAAUUAUGGGUGUAAUCAUAUUGCUUGAGUUUACUUUGUCUACAUCAUGUCAUCUUGCUUUAGGCGUUACUCUGUUCGUCAUGAACUUAAUACCACAGAUGCAUGCUAGAUAACGGUCGAUUAGUGGAAUAAUAGUAGUAGCUGUAGACAUGAGACGGUCUACUUGUCACGGACAUGAUGACUAUAUACAUGAUCAUUGCCAUGAAUACAUCAUAACUAUGUGUUUUUCUAUCAAUUACCCAACAGUAAUUUGUUUACCCACCAUAUGCUAUGUGUUCGAGAGAGAAGCCUCUAGUGAAAACUAUGGGCCCCGGGUCUACUUUUAUCAUAUUAUUAAAACCAAAAAUACCUUGCUGCAAUUUUACACUUUUUAUUUUACUUUUAUUUUUAUCUAUGUAUCACUAUCAGAAUUAAUCCUUGCAAAUAACGAGUUCAAGGGGAAUGACAACCCUCUUGCCCGCGUUGGGUGCAAGUAUUUGCUUUUCUCUGUGUAGGUGCUGCAGAAGGGAAUUAGUGUGGUUCUUCUAUUGGUUCAAUAACUUUGGUUCUCACUGAGGGAAAUACUUAUCUCUGUUGUACUGCUUCACCCAUCCUCUUCGGGGGAAAUCCCAACACAGUUUACAAGUAGCACUACCCCUCCCUCCUCCUCCAUAGAUGCUUGGUGAAGCCCUGCCUGAGCUCCACCGUAAAAUCCACCACCACGCCAUCGUGUUGGCCUUGAUCCCAUCCACCUAUCCAUGUCGCUUGCUGGAUCAAGAAGGAGACGUCACCGAGCGAUACGUGUGCAUAUCUCAGAGGUGCCGUCCGUGUGGUACUCGAUCGGAUUGGAUCACGAAGAGAGUACGACUACGCCAACCACAUUCAUUAGAAUGUUUUCGUUUUAGGUCUACAAGGGUUUGUAAACUUUUCCCCCUCGUUGCUAGCAUCUAGUUGAUUAGAUCUUGGAUGUUUUCAUUGUCUCGUAGGAAAAAAAUUGUUUUCCAUGGAACGAUUCCCAUCACUGACCUGCUUUAAAGAAGUGGGUAGGAGCUCAGGCGACCCGGGCUCAGCAGGUGGCCAGGCGGGAGGUCCCUAAGAGGUGCAUCCAAGAAUGCAACAACCUCCAAGUAGAGAAGGCGUCCCUAGCCGAGAGGAAGAGACAACAAGAGCUGGAGCUGGAGGAAGUUAAGUCUCGCCUAGCUGAUGCCGAGAGUGACGCGGCAGGCCCUUGAGAUCAUAGCCAGUGAGUCUGUCUGUGCUUCAACUCAUAAUCUAGGUGGAAAUUUUAUUUGCCGAUCUGUCAUAGAAAUUCAUUAUUUCCAGCAUCUUUUCCCGAGCCAGUGCUGUUGGAGUGUCACUUAGGAAGAAACUGCAGCAGCUUGGAGAGUUGAACAAGAUCGCGAGGCCGACAAUGGAGGGUAUUUUCAAGGCCCUAUGGCCUGGAGAAAGGUUGUCGGAAAACCAGUUUGACCUCCCGCCGCCUCCCGGAGGGGCAUGCUCGGAUUGCCCUGUGAAAGGCCUUAGUGGCCUGAGAAGAUGCUCGUCAAGCUUGGGCCAUGCUCCAGACCCACUAUCCGGGCUUGAACAUCUGUCCUAUUGCCCUAGUUGGUCCAAAAGGACCUGUCGGUAAGGAGAUUAUGCCUAAUGGCAAUUUCCAACGGAUCAUGCCCUAUACUAGGAUGUCCGAGCAGGAUUGUCGUUUGGAAAAUAUUAUUGAAUAGGCUAGGAGCGAUUACCCUGGAAUGUCAAGGAUGAAAAGUUGUAUAAAAACUUCACGAAUUUCGCUCUAGCCAUGUUUAUUUUUUUCUAUACCGACAACAUGAUAGGUUUGGUCCGACCUGUUUAGCAUACGCUUGCAUUAACCAGCCUUUGGCUUCAACCUCCACAACCAAACGGGGAGGCCUUAUAAUUGAUGUUAACGCAAGGAGUAGGGAUCGCCAUGCAACUAGGAUGCAAACAUAUCUAUGAAUAUAUGAAAUCUCUCGCAAGGAUUAAGUAGGGGUGUGUCCAACUUGUUUGCUCAUGAAGACCUCGAGCAUUUGAUAAAGCUCAUCAUCGGGAUGUACAAGGAAAGUUCUACAACAUAAAUUCCCCAAGCUAGUAUAAAACAUGAAGCUCAUGAAACUUUAAUUAGAUGCUAAUUAUCCAGACCAACAAAAGUUCUUUAGUAAGAGUCUCUAAGAAAUAUAUUUCAUCGAAACUGUCCUACUCAGCUCGAGUGAACAGUUAAAUCCAAAAAAAAUUGAAACAAAAUUUCAAAAAAAUCUAAAUUUUUUUGGUGAUAAAUGUUUUCAAUGCUUGCAAAGUUUCAUCAUGUAAUUAUAUUUGUGGAAGUCAUGCAAAAAUAAUAUCGAUGCUUCAAAAAAGUUAUUUUCGGAGUGCUGAAUUUGUUUAUUGCCGUGACGAAGAUGAAUGCCAGUCUAUGAUGAAACUUUGCAAGGAUAUAUAACAUGUGUCAAAUUAAGCCACACACAAAAAAUCAGAAAUUUUUGAAUUCUUUCUAAAUAUUUUCAGAUUUUAUUGCUCACCCGAGCUCAUAUGAGCUCGAGCUCAGUUAAUCCGUGUCCAUGUUUCAUCCUAUUCUACUAGCAAAAACCAAUGGAGCAGAUGGUAGUGACGUGGAAAAGAAACCAUAAUAAUUUUGUAGUGAUAUAUAAUUAAAGAAACAGAAAUUUGCAAUUGCAAAUUAGGGAAUCUUAAUGUCAAAUACUGAAUUCUUCCACCCACUAGCUGUGAGACAUAUCCAUUGCAGUGCCAAAUAAAGAAACUUUUCCAUGAAUUAAUAACAGCAAGACAAUGGUCCGCGUGUUGUAUAUAAUAAAUAUUACACAGGUUUUGCAUAUGUGUAGCCGGUGCAUAUAGACCUAUGAGGAAUUACGUAUGCAUGCUCAAGAACCUAUGUUCGUACAUACAUACACAAAUCAUAUAGAACAAAAGGUAUGCUCCGGUCCGAAAGCAGAGUCGUGCAGCAGAGUUGUGGACAAAAGUGAAGUUCACAAAAGACCUUCAUACGAGAUAGGCCAUUGUUUCAACUCGUAGUUUAGGCCUUGCCGGACUCCUCGCAACCCGGUGGCCUGAAGGCGAUGAAGCUGACGCACUGCACCUGGCGCAGGUUGUCGAAGCCGAUGACACGGACAUAGGCGUCAGGGUACUCCUUCUUGACCUCCUCCACCUCGUUGAGCACCUGUGUGGCGUCGGUGCACCCAAACAUGGGCAGCUUCCACAUUGUCCAGUAUCGACCGUCGUAGUACCCGGGGGAGCUGUUGUGCUCACGGAAGACGAAGCCAACCUUGCUGAACUCGAGGCAGGGCACCCACUUGGAGCGGAUCAGGUAGUCGACCUGCUUCAGGAGGGCUUCCGUGGAGAGGGGUGGCAAGUAAGACAAGGUCUCGAACUUCUUGAUGCCCUCAAUUGGCCACACCUGAAUGAAUAGAAUGCGCACAGAUGCUCAAUACUUGGUGAUAAGUCAAUUAAUUGUACUAACAAUGCUAGAAUAAAUCAGACGGCAUGCCAAAAAUUGCUCCUUAUGGGCAGCUCUCAUAUGCAUUGCUGGGUUGUUCACAAUCAAUAAAGCUUUGGUUGUACUUAGUUCUAGUAUAUGGGUCCUAUUUCGAGGAUGGGUUUGGUUAUAUACAUCGGGGAUGUUCUGUAAGUGAAUUACUUGCACUGACAAAGAAACUCAUAUCAAUUAGUGCCCGACAUACCUGCAUGCACCUGAUCCUUCCGCCAUUGCUGACGCUGCCGAGGCUGGCGCUGGAGCGGCGGCUGACGGGGAGACCGGCUGUGGACUUGAGCCCCUGGAAGGGUGCAACGGUGGUAGCCGACGAAGCCAUCACGGCGGGGGCCAUGGUAUUCUAUUAACUGGAGGAGAGGAGGAUGCCGGCUACAGUUGAGGCCCCCAUUGCCGGGUCACCACGCUAUAUAUAGACUCGUUUCUUUGGUACAGAUGUGGUAGCGGUGGCUGACGUUCGCUGGUUGCCUCGUUUCCUUAUCUUCUCCGGAUCAGUGGAAGAAGCAUUGCCGUCGGAUACAUUGUGUGUGCUGGAAAUUUCAGUCCUUCAUGUCAUUAGGUGGCUGCCACACAACCUUUUUUCUAGCUUUGCUUGUUUUUGGGUGAGUUCCUUGAUAACAAAUUGUCUGAGGAUGCGAGUGAGUUGGGUGGGCAAAAUAUUUUCAUUUUAUCAUAAAAUUUGCUGGCUCACUCUUGAAACUAUGCUCAUAGGCGUAUAGUGUGCGUGUGUGCAAUCAUAGAGGGUGGUGUACAUACGUGUAUGUGAAUGUCUGCAUUUGUACAAUGUUUUUCAAAAUAAAAUAUAUGUUUUCUUGGUAGAAUUAACUGAACUAGCAUAGUAAAAUAUAUGUUUCCCCCCUCCAUAUCCGUCGAUGUGCCUAUGGAUUCGCCUCCCCUUGGAGGGAAGGGAAUUCUCUGUAAAGAAGUAGUGAUCUAAACGCUUUUAUAUUUCUUUACGGAGGGAGUAGGAUUUUAGUUCUUGUAGGAGUGGCGCUUGGACAGAUGGCGGCCCUUCUUCUUCGAGUCAAUCUUCCGGGAUCCGGUCGUCUUCAAGCUCCUCGGGCAUAUGCAAAACGAGAUUUGGUGUCAGGUUCUUCAGACCGAUUCAGGGAUUCGACGACGACGACUACGGCUCCAGAGCGUUCAUUCUUAGGGGCGUGUGCAUGAAGACUUCCUCGCUGCCAUCGACAAGGUCUGGCUAGAACCAGUGUGGGAGCAAAGACAACGGCUCGUUUUGACGGAGGCAAUGGUCGUUCGGUGUCGUUCGGUGGUCCAUAGACCUAGAUGUACUUUUUACUAUGUUUGAGGUGCUUUCUACUUUCGGUGAAUCUUUUCUUUUAGGGCAGGUGAUCUGCCUUUUCAUUGAUGUUUAGGAAGGUAUAGGGGAGGGCUAAAGUGCCAAAGGAAAGAAGAAAAACAUAAAAAAAAACAGAAAAGAGAUCCAGUUGCACAAAUCACUGAUGUACAAAGCGCUAGCCUAAGGCACGACUUUCGGUGAAUCUUUAUAUUAGAUCUUAUUCUUUACGCAAAAAAAAAAGAAAUUGAACUAGGAGGUAAAAGCACUAGAGGUCCUAGAACUUGGCUAACAUGUGAUGGUUUAGUCCUAAAACUUGCAAAAGUGAACUAUGUAGUCCUAUAACUUGUACACAACCUGCAAAUUUAGUCCAAAGCCAAUCAGAGGCGGCCAAGUGGCGCCAGCUGGCUGUGUUUCAUUUUGCAUAUACCCCCUUUUUUUGUCAAAUUAACCCGCAAGUACUAGUAAUACACGGGGCUAGCAGCAGCAGUAGGGCUAGCUAGUGCGGGCUUUGAGAAUUGAGAUUGGUUCAUCAUGUGAAACUGCAAUCUCCCUUCCAAUCAAACACAUUAAGAUACGCAGGUUGGGCGCUUCCUAGGCUAUGCCACGUCGGAUCGCUGGAAGACAAAACAGAUCGCUGCAAAAAAAAGAUUGCUGGGAGAAAAAAUGAUGGUCGGUUGGGCAGCGGCCAAAUAACACAUGCCUCUCGAUCUGCUUUCCCUUCCUCACUAAGAAAUAUCCAAUUCCACACGCAACCUCGUAGUCGCAUCGCUCUCCUCGACAACUGCUACGCGUCCAUGCGCCGCCACCGCCGCCACUUCUCCCGCGCCUUCUCCUCCCAGUUCCUCUCUGCCCUACGCCACCCCCGCCUCCUUGACCACCUAUCUCCUCCUCUGGGAGCACUACUUUCAGUUUUCCAUUCCAAUUGGAUGGUCUACAACAUUGAUCCAUAUUUUGUAGGAACACUUAUAUUGCUGAACUGAACUUGAUAUCAAAUCAGUGUUUAGUUUAUAAAUAAUUUCUAUAAGUGAUACAUCUUUCAGUGUAAAUGCAUUUUUUCUCAAGACUACUUGGGGAAAAAAUAGCAGACAUCAAAUGAAAUGUAUAAUUUUGUCAUCGGAAAAUCAAAUGAAAGCCACGGAAAGACCCCAAAACAUCAUAUUAAGAUCACCAUUGACUAUCCAAAUCUAAGUCCACCGCAUUCGUUAUAAAGAAAUUCUUUUCCAUGAAACUAAACCACGCCAACACUAAAAUUCAUGAACGAAAGUCAUCCAUAAUAUUAUGUUUCAUUAUAUGAGACGGUAGUUAUUUCGUCAUUUAAAGUGAUGAUAUGGCUCCAUCGUGGUAUUAGAUGUGGCCUUUCCUAUGACGAUGUGGUAUCAUCAUUUUUUUCUAAUCUAAUAAAAAGUCUUACAUAUUGGUCUCACAAUCCGAAAACUCUCCUUUGCACGCACGCGUUGGGACUGGUGAAGCGCUCCGCACAAGAAGUCAGGUUCCGACCGCGCGCUAUAUUCCUUUCCAAACUUUGGCAUGCCGUUUAACUGAGAAUGGUGGCCCCACAUAGUAUCGCAGCCCACUGUCAUGGAACUAAAUGUGUUGGGCUCACCCCACAUGUUACACGCAUUCACGGAAGGGCUAGUUGUGGUGUCAUCUUGGUUUUCACUUCAGUGUGAUUUCUUUGAUUUCACUGAAUUUCAGGAAUUUCAGUAGACACCGAAAUAUUUACCUUUCAAUCAGAAUAUUUCAGUCAUUUCAGUUGUACACAUGAAUUCAAAUAUUUUCAAAAUAUCUUUAAAUAUUGUUUUGAAUUUCAAGUGAAUAUUUUGGUCUUUUGGCCAAAAUGCAAGCUGAAAUUACUGAAAUUCAGUAACUUUGGUAGGUACUGAAACAACCGUAGGGUUUUUGCCUGAAUAUGAAUUUUGUCAUGAAACAUAUAGGGUUUUGACCUCCGAUGUAGGUUCUAUAACAAAAUUGAUAGUUUCGUCAUGGAAGGACCUAUGUUUAUGACAAAAACACAAAACAUCACAGAUAAUUCAUUAUAGAAGGCCAAAACUUUACUAGUAGAAGAUAUCUUGGGACUCGUCAAUUGGAUAUGUAAUUUGCACAUAUUUGUCUAGUCCACACGUUCUCUGGUUUAUUGGAAUUGCUGCAAUACUGUAAAAAAAUAGUAUCUAAUUGCGGUGUAAAAUGGUUAGAAAAAGUGACAUGUCUUUGAUGAAUCGAUGAUGGAAUAUGCCUCACAAGACAAGUGCACUAUGGUAUUUUGUCCUUGUCUUGUUUUGACACCUGUUGUUUGUCCUUUUUCUAGUUUUUAAAUUUUAGUUUUUGGCUUUUUAUUAUUAUCUGGUUCUCAUCAAUGUCCUACUGUUUUGCCACUAGUUUUCAAUGGGGUCACACCAUCUCUUUAUGUGUUUCCCACAGUAUUUUUUGACGUACUUUGGUAUUCCAUAAGAAUUUUCGCAUUAGAUAAUACACAUCAUAUGAUUGAGCAAAAAAUGUAAGAGAAUAAAACAUUGCAAGGCAUAGGCAUUUCCAGUUGCAAACAAAGUUUCUUUUCCAUCAAUUGAUGGCAAGACAAUAAUCCGCGGAUUGCAUAUAAUAUAUAUGUGUAUGUGUAGCCGGUGCUAUAAUUCUGACAUGCAUCCUCCUCGGCCUACGUUGGUAGGUGCUUACAUAUGCUCAUAUAUUCACAUAUGAGUAGAACCAGAAAUAAAACCGAGAAAGCAGAGCUGCUGACAAAUGUGAACUAACAUGGCAUGUAUAUCGGACUUGCACUUUAGGCCUUGCCGGAUUCCUCGCAGCCUGGUGGCCUGAAGGCAAUGAAGCUGACGCACUGCACCUGGCGCAUGUUGUCGAAGCCAAUGACGCGGACAUAGGCGUCAGGGUACUCCUUCUUGACCUCCUCCACCUCAUUGAGCACCUGCGUGGCGUCAGUGCACCCGAACAUAGGCAGCUUCCACAUUGUCCAGUAUCGACCGUCGUAGUACCCGGGGGAGCUGUUGUGCUCACGGAAGACGAAGCCAACCUUGCUAAACUCGAGGCAGGGCACCCACUUGGAGCGGAUCAGGUAGUCGACCUGCUUAAGGAGGGCCUCCGUGGAGAGGGGUGGCAAGUAAGACAGGGUCUCGAACUUCUUGAUGCCCUCAAUCGGCCACACCUGAAUAGAUGGAAUUAACACAAUUGAUCAACACUUAGUGCUUAAACAAAGACCUAGCCAUAAUAAGGCAAAAAUUGCUCCUUAUGUCCAUACAUUUGUGGGGGGUCUCCACACGCAAGAAAGCACAAGGGCACCUCUUUCUUAUCGGUAGUGUAUGGGCAUUAAAAUUAAUAUUAUCUAGUACACAUUGGAAUAAAAUCGAUUUCCAUUCACAAAGUUUAUGAGUUAAAUAUUCCUACACAUGUGAACCUGCUUACGGACUACAUUGUGAAGCACAGUUUGGCCUGGCAUGUGGGCGUCCUAAGGAUAGCUUUGCCUAUGUGCAGUGAAAUACCCGAUAAAUUAAUCAAUUGUGGCGACAAAAACAUUCAUGCCAGCUUAGUGUCCGUCAUCCUUCGCUAAAAAAAAUCAAAAAGGAGGAUAACUCUAGCCUCUGCAUCAAGUGAUAUGCACACUGUCAUUUUUAUUAUAUUAUUCAACAGAGUCUAACAAAACAAAUACGAUUUUAAACCAAAGCCAUCUUCGAGACGAACAAAAUCGCUACACCUACAAGUACGAUGAUGUGCCUUAACCGCAUCAUCCUUCGCAAAAACAAUAUUCAGCUUUCAUACCUGCAUGCAUCUGAUCCUUCCGCCAUUGCUGACGCUGCUGAGGCCGGCGCUGCCGGAGCGGCGGCUGAUGGGAAGGCCGGCGGUCGACUUAAGCCCCUGGAAGGGCGCGACGGUGGUGGCGGAAGACGCCAUCACGGCUGGGGCCAUGGUGGAGUACGUGAAUUGCUAGGUGGGGAGGCGAUAGCUAGCUAGGCCACACUUGACUUGAGCCCUCCUCAUGCCGCUCCAGUAUAUAUCAGCAUAUGCGCAGCGCCGCUCCUUUCAAACGAGAUUUCGAAGGGGUGGUCGUCGUUUGCUUGCUGCAAGGCGCCUUAUCCCUCUGGAUCAGCGGAAGAGGGGUGCAAAAUCAAAAUGAAUGCCACGGAAAGACCCCAAAACGUCAUAUAGAUCACCAUUGAUCAUCCAAUUCUAAGGUCACUGCAUUCGUAAUGAACAAAUUCUUUGGCGUGAAACUAAACCACGCCAACACUAAAAUUCAUGAAGGGAAGUCAUCCAUACUCGUAUGUUUCAUUAUAUGAGACGGUAAUUAUUUCUUCAUUUAAAGUGUUGAUAUGGCUCCACCAUGGUAUUAGACGUGGCAUUUUCCUAUAGGAUGUGGUAUCUUCAUUUUUUUUCUAAUUUAGUAAAACUUCUUCAUAUAGGUCUCACAAUCUGAAAAUUCUCAUUCGCACGCGCGCGUUGGGUAGGUGAAGCGCUCCGCACAAUAAGUCAGGUUCCGGCCGCGCGCUAUAUUCCUUUCAUAAUUUUCACAUGUCGUUUAAUUAAGAAUGGUGGCCCCAUAUGGUAUAGCAGCCCAUUGCCAUGGAAUUAAAUGUGUUGGGCCCACCCCACCUGAUACGCGCAUUCGCGGAAGGGCUAGUUGUGGUGGCAUCAUGGUUUUCACUUUUACUGAUAUAUCUUUGAAUUACACCAAAUUUCAGUAGACAACGAAAUAUUUACCUUUCGGCCAAAAUAUAUCAGUCAUUUCAAUUCUACACAUAAAUUCAAAUAUUUUUCAAAAUAUUUUCAUAUAUUUUUUCACUUUCGGGUGAAUAUUUUGGUCUUUUGGUCAAAAUGCGAAUUGACACUACUGGAACUUAGUAAUUUUGGUAGGUACUCAAAUGAAAAAACAUGGGUGCCAUGGCAUGCAGGCCCACCCCGUGAUCAAUAUAUAAUCUCCCACUAAAUUUCAGGUGGGGGCUAGUUUCCCUACAAUAAUGAAUAAUCCAAGGGAACGGAAAUAUCACUGCACACUUUCCUAAUAGGGAUGUGGACAGCGAGUCGGAAAUCAACCACGCGGAAGCGCGUGCGAUUUAGCACCCAAAAAAUAAUUCAAGUUAAUAUAAUUUUAGCCUGGCGUGCGUGUACCUCCACAAUGUAAUGGGCUACUGUUGUUUGCAACUAAUUGUUUCGUAAUGUUAUGACUGAAUAUGGAUUUUCUCAUGAGACAUAUAGGGUUUCUGCCUCUUAGGCAGGUUUUAUGACAAAAUUGAUAGUUUCGUCAUGGAAGGACGUUCAUCGUAGAAGGCCAAAAUAUUACUAGUACAAGGUAUCUUGGGGCUCAUCAAUUGGAUAUGUAAUUUGCACAUAUUUGUGCCCUCAACACGUUCUUUGGUUUAUUGGAAUUUCUGUAAUACUGCAAAAAAAAGUAUCUAAUUGCAGUGUAAAAUGGUUAGAAAAAGUGACAUGUCUUUGAUGAAUCGAUGCAGGAAUAUGGCUCACAUGACAAGUGCAUUAUGGUAGUUUGUCCUUGUCUUGUUACGACACCUUUGUUUGUCCUUUUUCUAGUUUUUUAUUAUUAUUUUUGUUUUUUUAUUAUCUGUUUCUCGUCAAUUCCCUAUUGUUUUGCCAUUAGUUUUCAAGGGGGUCUCACCAUCUUUUAUGUGUUUCUCCACAGUAUUUUUUGAAGUACUUCGGUAUUCCAUAACAAUUUCCGUAUUAGACAAUACACAACAUAUGAUUGAGCAAGAAAUGCAUGAGAAGAAAACAAUGGAAGACAUAGGCAUUUCCGGCUGCAAAGAAAGUAACCUUUCCAUCGAUUGAUGGCAAGACACUAAUCCGUUGAUUGCAUAUAAUAUAUAUGUAUAUGUAUAGCCGGUGCUAUAAUUCUCAUAUGCAUCCUCCUCGACCUACAUUGGUAGGUGCUUACAUACAUAUGCUCGUAUAUUCACAUAUGAGUAGAACGAGAAGUAAAACUGAGAAAGCAGAGCCGCCGACAAAUGUGACUAACAUGACAUGUAUAUCAGUUACUUCAACUUGCACUUUAGGCCUUGCCGGAUUCCUCGCAGCCUGGUGGCCUGAAGGCAAUGAAGCUGACGCAUUGCACCUGGCGCAUGUUGUCGAAGCCGAUGACGCGGACAUAUGCAUCAGGGUACUCCUUCUUAACCUCCUCCACCUCAUUGAGCACCUGUGUGGCGUCGGUGCAACCGAACAUAGGCAGUUUCCACAUUGUCCAGUAUCGACCGUCAUAGUACCCGGGGGAGCUGUUGUGCUCACGGAAGACGAAGCCAACCUUGCUGAACUCGAGGCAGGGCACCCACUUGGAGCGGAUCAAGUAGUCGACCUGCUUCAGGAGGGCCUCCGUGGAGAGGGGAGGCAAGUAAGACAGGGUCUCGAACUUCUUGAUGCCCUCAAUUGGCCACACCUGAAUAGAUGGAAUGAACACAAUUGAUCAACACUUAGUGCUUUAAGAAAGACCUAGCCAUAAGGCAAAAAUUACUCCUGAUGGUCUGUCCAUACAUUGCGGGGGGUCUCCACAAGCAAGAAAGCUCAAGGGCAGCUCUUGCUUAUGGGUAGUGUACGGGCAUUAAAAAUGAUAUUAUCUAGUACACAUUGCAAUAAAAACGAUUCCAUUCACAAAGUUUAUGAGUUAAAUAUUCCUACACAUGUGAACCUGCUUACGGACUACAUUGUGAGGUUUAGUUUGGCCUGGUAUGUGGGUUACACGUCCUAAGGAUAGCUUUGCCUAUGUGCAGUGGAAAUACCCGAUAAAUUAAUCAAUUGUGCCGACAAAAACAUUCUUGACAGCUUAGUGUCCGUAAUCCUUCGCCAAAAAAAUUCAAAAAAGAGCAUAUCCUCAGCCUCUGCAUCAAGCGAUGCACACUGUCAUUUUUAUUAUAUUAUUCAACAGAGUUUAACAUAAGAAAUACGAUUUUAAAUCAAAGCCAUCUUCGAGAUGGACAAAAUUGUUACACCUACAAAUACGAUGAUGUGCCUUGACCACGCCAUCCAUCGCAAAAAUAAUAAUUAGUUUUCGUACCUGCAUGCAUCUGAUCCUUCCGCCAUUGCUGACGCUGCUGAGGCCGGCGCUGCCGGAGCGGCGGCUGACGGGGAGGCCCGCGGUCGACUUGAGCCCCUGGAAGGGCGCGACGGUGGUGGCGGAAGAAGCCAUCACGGCUGGGGCCAUGGCGGAGUACGUAAAUUGCUAGGUGGGGAAGCGAUAGCUAGCUAGGCCACACUUGACUUGAGCCCUCCUCAUGACGCUCCAGUAUAUAUCACCAUAUGCGCAGCGCCGCUCCUUCCCAACAAGAUUUCCAAGGGGUCGUCGUCGUUUGCCUGUUGCAAGGCGCCUUAUCCCUCUGGAUCAGCGGAAGAGGGGUGGCCCUCCGAUGCAUUGCGUGCGUGUGACUGCUGUACAAACAAUACAAUAAUUUUUGGAUCGUUAGAUUAGCACCUGCCUCUCUCUCCCAUAAUCUGCCGUAGUUUUCAUCUAAGGCUCCCACUAAUUUUUUGAUUUACUUUGUUUCCAGAAAGUUACUGCUCCUGGAAAUUACUCCUCAAAUAUUUGUGUCGAGGUAAUUGCACCGGUGGCGCUUGAACUUGCCAUCGAUGUUCACUUUAAUGUCUGAACUUCAAAAUUCGUCGAACUGGUAAUAGUACAUGGCACUUUUGUUCAAAUAUGGUUCAAACCAUGUUCGGAUACGUAUGUGUUGUUGACUAGGCAUGCCAGCAUGGCGCGGGGCCCACUUGCAGUGUCGGGACAAGCUCACUUGCAAAGUAUACACUCUAUGACAAUCGGGUCCCACCUGUCAGACAGGGGUGGACACAGGAUUGGGCUUAGCCCCGGGCCCUAAGCUGGCUACAGUGCGCCUACAGUGAUGCUACAGUGCCCAUCAUGCUAUACUGAACGCAGUGUGCAGUCCUCACACCCAGGGCCCAGGCCCCCCGGCCUGGGUUCUGGAUCCGCCACUGCUGUCAGGGCACAACAGCAAAAAAAACUAGCCAUGGUUGUCAAGGCUCACUAGUAGAAAACAUACCUUUGAUCCGGAGAAUUAGUUCCGGCCGGGUAUGGACCCGGAACAAUGUGAGCAUUAGUCUCGGUUCCAACGGCUAGGAGCGGACGGGAGGCACAGCAGGCUGGGGCCCCCGCGAGCCCUUUUAGUCCCGAUUGGUAUCACCAACCGAGACUAAAGAUAUCCCUAUAUAUAGAUGUUUCGUUCAGCCCGAGUCCAAGCUUUAUCCUUCCUCUCCUCUCUGUUUCCUUCCCCUAGCUCCAGCUCAUCCUCCAUUUUUGCCAAGAUUUGUCAAGAUUUCAGGCACCCCAUCUAUCCAAGGGUUCUAAAAGGUUAGCAACUUCAUCCUUUCAUCUUUCAUUGCUAGUUUAGCUCGUUUCAUGCUCUAUAAGUAUUGUGAUUUGUGGGUUUAGUUUCGGAGUAAUUAUGUGGGAGAUUAUUUGAUUUAUAUGCAAUUUGAGCUCAAAUUAACUUCUUAGUUUGCAUAUGGUGUAGGUGUGGUUUACUUAGUGCCUUCCCGUCCCCUUACUCACCGUCGUCGAUCGCCCGCGCCAUCCCGUCACCAGCACCACCUUGGUGAGCCUCUUGUUCUUAUCCUUUUUGUAAAAAAAAAUCUUAUUUGUAUGAUUUAGAUAGUUACUUGUAUAAUUUUCUUACUUGUAUGAUUGUUUGUUAUAUAUAGUGUCAUGGUUUUGAUAUCCGUCCCCGUCGGCCCUCGUCCGGUUUAUGAUUCGGAUGUGGUAUAUUAUCUUUUAUAACUAUUUAUUUUAUUUCGUGUUUAUGACAAUUAUGCCCAUCAAGUUGACAUAUAUAUUUUUAUCUAGGAGGUAUGUGAACUGUAAAUUGCAACCGACCCUCUUGUUAAGAAGUUAAAUUUAGUUUAAAAAGAAAACGAUUAUUUGAAACAAAACUUGAAAAGAAUUAAAGAAGAGAAGAUGAAAUUGGAGUUGUAUAUUGUUGAUGUCAUCGAUGAUCACAAGAUCAAGAUGGAUGCAAUGCGCUUGAAGAUUAAAAAGAUUAGAAAAUAUGUCGUUAAUAAAGAGCCUUGGUAUCAUUAUGUUGUCGGAUCAAUUAUUACCUUAGUUGCGAUUUUGAUCGCAUUUGUUGUUGCAUUUAAAUGCUUUAGCUAGAUAGUUGUAUGUCGUUUUAUGAGAAGUAUGUAUGAACUUUAUGUAUGAACUUGUAUUAAUUUGGUCACUUCGAUGUUGUGUAAUGAAGAUGAGUCGGCAAUGGAUGUAUGAUGACCAACGCUCUCGUGAGUUCAUUAAUGGCGUGCAUAGUUUUCUGCGUGUGGCUGAGGCAAACAAGCGGAAUGGUUUUAUGUGUUGUCCAUGUGGUGUCUGUAAGAAUGAUAGGGAUUACUCUACCUCAAAAAUCCUUCACAGCCACCUACUUCAGUCCAGAUUCAUGUCUGGCUAUAACUGUUGGACCAAGCACGGAGAAAGAGGAGUUAUAAUGGAAGACAAUGAAGAAGAAGAGGAUGAUGACAACUAUCCUAGGUUCCCUGAAUGUGAUGGUAUGGGGGAAGCUGAAGAAGAGGCAUCAGAUGUGCCCGCUGAUGAUCUUGGUCGGGCCAUUGCUGAUGCAAAGAGAAACUACGAAAGUGAAAAGGAGAGGUUGAAGUUGGAGCGCAUGUUAGAGGAUCACAAAAAAUUGGUAUACCCAAAUUGUGAAGAUGACAAGAAAAAGUUGCAUACCACACUGGAAUUGCUGCAAUGGAAGGCAGAAAAUGGUGUAUCUUGCAAGGUAUUCGAAAAGUUGUUGAAAAUGUUAAAGAAGAUGCUACCAAAGGAUAACGAAUUGCCUGACAGUACGUACGGAGCAAAGAGGGUUGUCUACCCUCUAGGAUUAGAGGUGCAGAAGAUACAUGCAUGCCCUAAUGACUGCAUCCUCUACCGCGGUGAGGACUAUGAGAAUUUGAAUGCAUGCCUGGUAUGUGGUGCAUUGCGCUAUAAGAUUAGCCAUGAUGACCCUAAACAAAGAGCAUGCAAAGUUGUUGCGAUGGCACAAAGAAGACCGUAAGAAAGACGGGAUGUUGAGAGUACCCGUUGAUAGGUUGCAGUGGAGAAAAAUUGAGAGAAAGUGGAUGGAGUUUGCAGAUGACACAAGGAACUUAUGGUUUAGUAUAAGUACAGAUGGCACCAAUCCUUUUGGGGAGUAGAGCAGUAGUCAUAGCACCUGGCAUGUGACUCUAUGUAUCUAUAACCUUCCUCCUCGAUUGUGCAUGAAGCGGAUGUUCAUUAUGAUGUUAGUUCUCAUCCAAGGCCCUAAGCAACCCGGCAACGACAUUGAUGUGUACCUAAGGCCAUUAGUUGAAGAACUUUUACAGUUGUGGGAUAUAAAAGAUGUACGUGUGUGGGAUGAGCACAAACAGGAGGAAUUUGACCUACGAGCGUUGUUGUUUGUAAUGAUCAAUGAUUGGCAUGCUUUUAGUAACCUUUCAGGACAGACAAACAAGGGAUACAAUGUAUGCAUGCACUGUUUAGAUGAGACUGGAAGUAUAUAUUUGGAUAAAUGUAAGAAGAAUGUGUACCUGGGACAUCGUCGAUUUCUUCUGAUCGGGCAUCUCUUAAGAAAGAAAGGCAAGCAUUUCAAAGGUGAGGCGGAUCACCAGAAGAAGCCUGACCACCGUACUGGUGAUGAUAUAUUUGAUAUCGUCAAGGAUUUAAAAGUAAUCUUUGGAAAGGGUCAUGGCGGACAAUCUGUUUCGAAUGACGCUAACGGACACACACCCAUGUGGAAGAAGAAAUCUAUAUUUUGGGACCUACCCUACUGGAAAGUCCUAGAGGUCCGCUCUGCAAUCGACGUGAUUCACGUGACGAAGAAUCUUUGCGUGAACCAGAAGAUAAAAGAUACACCGGAGGCAUGGGAGGACCUGCAACGUAUGAACGAAAAAGAAGGCAUGCAUCCAAAGCAGUAUCAAGGUCCUGCCAGCUACACUCUUACCAAAGAAGAGAAGGAAAUCUAUUUUGAAUGCCUGAGCAGUAUGAAGGUCCCGUCUGGCUUCUCUUCGAAUAUAAAGGGAACAAUAAAUAUGGCAGAGAAAAAAUUCCAAAACCUAAAGUCUCAUGACUGCCACAUGAUUAUGAUGCAAUUACUUUCGGUUGCAUUGAGGGAGCUUCUACCGGAAAAUGUUCGAUUAGCCAUUGUGAAGUAUGUGCAUUCCUCAAUGCAAUUUCUCGGAAGAUAAUCGAUCCAGAAAUCAUACCAAGGUUACAGAAUGAUUUGGUCCAAUGUCUUGUUAGUUUUGAGUUGGUGUUCCCACCAUCCUUCUUCAAUAUUAUGACGCACGUCCUAGUUCACCUAGUCGAAGAGAUUACCAUUCUGGGUCCUGUAUUUCUACACAAUAUGUUCCCUUUGAGAUGUUCAUGGGAGUCUUAAAAAAUUAUGUUCAUAACCAUGCUAGGCCAGAAGGAAGCGUCUCCAAGGGCCAUGAAACAAAGGAGGUUAUUGAGUUUUGUGUUAACUUUAUUCCUGACCUUAAGCCGAUUGGUGUUUCUCAAUCGCGACAUGAGGGGAGACUGAGUGGAAAAGGCACGCUAGGAAAGGAUUCAGUAAUAAGUAUGGACGGGCAUUCUUUCACUCAAGCGCUCUACAUAGUUCUACAAAAUUCUACCUUGAUGGCUCCGUAUAUCGAGGAACACAUGGAUAUUGUACGCUCCAAGAACCCGGAGCAGUCUGACCCCUGGAUUAAACGUACACACAUGGCAACUUUCGGCUAUUGGUUGCAAACACAUCUCAUGAAUAACACCACUAUUGGAGAUGAGAUGUACUUGCUGGCCAAGUCAACAUCUUCGACUAUAUUGACUUUCAAAGGGUACGGGAUAAAUGGGAAUACAUUUUACACGAUCGCCCAAGAUAAAACGAGCACCAACCAAAUAGUGGUGUCCGCUUUGAUGCAACAAACAACAAUAGGAAAAAGGACACAUAUUAUGGUUACAUAGAGGAGAUAUGGGAAAUUGACUAUGGACCUUCUUUUAAGGUCCCUUUGUUUCGGUGCAAAUGGGUCAAUCUGACAGGAGGCGAGGUAAAGGUAGACCCGCAGUAUGGAAUGACAACAGUGGAUCUCAACAAUCUUGGGUACACAAACGAACCAUUCGUCCUAGCCAAUUUUGUGGCACAGGUUUUCUAUGUGAAGGACAUAUCUACCAAACCGAGAAAAAGAAAAGAUAAGGAAGUGAAUACAUCAUACGAUGAGCAAAAGAGCCACAUAGUUCUUUCAGGGAAAAGAAACAUCGUGGGAGUGGAGGACAAGACAAACAUGUCAGAAGAUUAUGAAAAGUUUGAUGAAAUUCCUCCCUUCACAGUGAAGACUGGCCCAAGCAUCAUGUUAAAUGAUGAAGAUUCUCCAUGGUUACGGCGCAAUCAUAAGCAAGGGACACACGUGAAGAAAAAAAUUUAUACCCCAAGAUCCCACUCUAGGAUGUAACCGGCUUCACCGUCAUCACUUUCUCUCUAGUGAAUUUCCGGACUUAUAUUUGUAAAGUCUCACUUCGGACAAACCGGAGGGAAUCUUUGUAAGAGUUAGGGUAUAUAUGUGUUUUGGGUGUUCCUAGGUGGACUCCGGAGCAUCAGAAUCCAACCAAAAAGCUAGGGCAUUUUGGCAUUUGAAACAUGAUUUUGGAAUAAUUAUUUAAUAAGUUAUGAAUUUUCAAUUAUUCAUGUCCUAUUAGUAUUUAAAUUAUACAGAGGAGUUAAUCAAUGCAAUUAUUAAGCUAUGGAAGAGAGAGAGUUACUGGAGGUAGAAUAUGACUAGGGUGAGCUCUAGUAAAAAUUUGAGCUAAAGGAGAAUCCAUUUGGUACCCCAAUCAUUGACCGCAAGAUUUUGGCAGAAGGUGUUUGAUGAUGAAUAGAGGUACUUAGAGUAAUCCAAUGGCUUUGGAAUUUAAUAAGAAUGACCUUGGUAUCCAUUUGAGCUAGGGUGCAAAUUUGUAGCUCAUUUAAAGAAACUUGGCAAUGUAAAUAUUUCAAACCCUAGCACCGGGACUAAAUGGUUUUGACAAGCUUUGAUCAAGUUAACUUGUUCUCCAACUUGUGCCAUUUGAUGGGGGUGAUGCUCAUGACCAUCUGGCAAUGUGGUAAAAAUUUGAGAUCAAUGGGAGAAAGUUGCGAUGUAACUUUGUCAAACCCUAGAAAUGGGCAGAAUUGGUUUUGGCAUACUUUGACCAAUCUAAUUUAUUCUCCUUGAUGCACCACUUGGCCUAGAUGAAUAUUUAGACCAUUUUAGCAAUUGUACCAAGUUUGAGCUCAUUCAGACAUGUUUAGCAAUGUAAAGUUGCUCAAACUAGAAAAUGUACAGAGAUGGAUUUGAGGGAAUUUGAUGAUGUUAUCUUAUUCUCCAAGACAUGAUACUUAUAAAGAUCAUCAAAUAUAGUAUUAGUGACAUGCUACCAUUUUCUUGGAUUUAUGGUGAAUAUUUCCUUUGUAAAUAUUUCAAGAAUUAAUUUCAAUCUGUAAAGUUGUAUCUGUCAAAUAAUUUCUUCAAAAUGAAAAUUAAAACUCCUCAUGUUGACUAACAGACACAUAAUAUAAUUUGGCAAAAGAAUAACACGAAAACAUAAACUAAAACAAUUAAAACAAAUGAAAAGGUAUAAAACUAAAGGAGCUAAACCGGAUAUGUUUUUGAUUAAAAUACCUAUUUAAAAUAUCCUAAAGAUUAUCAAAUUGAACAUACUGAUAAAACACACUAAUAUUAAACAGCAGGAAAAAGAAUCACUCAAAAAUCUAUUUUAAAACUAAAGUUAAUCACAAACUAGUGAUUGACACAAAUUUCAAAGAAUUCAGCACGUAGUACAAACUAUAUUGAGUUGGCUUUAGAUAUGGCUGGUUGUGUUGGGUGCAUAAGCAUUGGGUUCUCAAAGAGAAUUCAGUGAUAUAAAUAAGUUUUAUGGCAUCAAUUUAAUUUAUUUUAUAAUGAUUGUUUUAGGUCAUCAAACAUAACCGAAUAAUCUUAAGAAAGUGUUAUGGAAUCCCUUCUAACUAUGUAACUAUUACAUGUGAAGUGAAAUGCAAGAAAAAGAUAUAAGAACAAUAUUAUUAUUUUUGAAUAAUUUAGAUGCAAGCAAUAUAUGGAGGAGGUACAUUGAUAAAUCAUAGCUAGAGUUGCAUAAUGUAAAUUUUUGCACAACUGUGCUUCUAAACCACAUCGUAAAAACAAGUGUUUGCAAGAACCAUAUCUGAAAAGGUAUAAGUUCAAUAAAAAGGGAAUAAUAAUAAUUGCCCGCACCUAGUUCAUAGCAAUGAAUAAAAUCCUUCCUAAUUAAACACCAACACAAUAUAUGGAAGAAGCAUAAAGAACAUGUAGAAGGUACAUUUUCCUGUCAAUAGAGCUUUAGAAUUAACUUUAAUGAAACAUUCAUGUUUUCAGAAGAGUGUGAUGUGCAUAUAUCUGCCCAUGAAAAACAAGAAGUUUCGUAGAAAAAUUGACCAUCUUUCAAGAAAAACACUACUUUUAUGAGAGCAUUCUGGCAUGCAAAAUUGGUUUUCUUGUAAAUGAUAACUAGAAAGUUCUAAAACUCCAGGUCAUUCUCUAGCGGCACUACUUUCAGUUUUCCAUUCCAAUUGGAUCCACAACAACAUUGAUCCGAAUUUUGUAGGAACACUUAUAUUGUUGAAUUGAACUUGAUAUCAAAUCAGUGUUUAGUUUAUAAAUAAUCUCUAUAAGUGAUACAUCUUUCAGUAUAAAUACAUUUUUCUCAAGACUACUUGGUGAAAAAAUAGCAGACACCAAAUGAAAUGUAUAAUUUUGUCAUUGGAAAAUCAAAAUGAAUGCCACGGGAAGACCCCCAAACUGUAAUAUUAAGAUCACCAUUGACUAUCCAAAUCUAAGGCUACCGCAUUCAUUAUAAAUAAAUUCUUUUCCAUGAAACUAAACCAUGCCAAGACUAAAAUUCAUGAAGGAAAGUCAUCCAUAGUAUUAUGUUUCAUUAUAUGAUACGCUAGUUAUUUCGUCAUUUAAAGUGAUGAUAUGGCUCCAUCGUGGUAUUAGAUGUGGCCUUUCCUAUGACGAUGUGGUAUCAUCAUUUUUUCUAAUCUAAUAAAAAGUCUUACAUAUUGGUCUCACAAUCCGAAAACUCUCCUUUGCACGCGCGCGUUGGACGGGUGAAGCGCUCCGCACAAGAAAUCAGGUUCCGACCACGCGCUAUAUUCCUUUCCAAACUUUGGCGUGCCAUUUAACUGAGAAUGGUAGCCCCACAUAGUAUAGCAGCCCACUGCCAUGGAACUAAAUGUGUUGGGCUCACCCCACCUGUUACGCGCAUUCACGGAAGGGCUAGUUGUGGUGGCAUCAUGGUUUUCACUUUCAGUGAGAUGUCUUUGAUUUCACUGAAUUUCAGGAAUUCAAUAGACACGAAAAUAUUUACCUUUCGUUCAGAAUAUUUCAGUCAUUUCAGUUGUACACGUGAAAUCAAAUAUUUUUCAAGAUAUUUUCAAAUAUGUUUUUGAAUUUCAAGUGAAUAUUUUGGUCUUUUGGCCAAAUGCAAACCGAAAUUAAAGAAUUUUAGUAAUUUUGGUAGGUACUGAAACAACAAUAGGGUUUUUGCCUGAAUAUGAAUUUUGUCAUGAAACAUAUAGGGUUUUUGCCUCCUAGGUAGGUUUUAUAGCAAAAUUGAUAUUUUCGUCAUGGAAGGACCUAUGUUUAUGACACAAACACAAAACAUCACAGAUAAUUCUUCGUAGAAGGCCAAAACUUUACUAGUAGAAGAUAUCUUGGGACUCGUCAAUUGGGUAUGUAAUUUGCACAUAUUUGUGUCCCUCUACACGUUCUCUGGUUUACUGGAAUUUCUGUAAUACUGCAAGAAAAAGUAUCUAAUUGCGGUGUAAAAUGGUUAGAAAAGGUGACAUGUCUUUGAUGAAUCGAUGUUGGAAUAUGGCUCACAAGACAAGUGCACUAUGGUAGGUUUGUCCUUGUCUUGUUUUGACACCUUUUGCUUGUCCUUUUUCCUAGUUUUUAAUUUGGAUUUUGGCAUUUUAUCAUCUGGUUCUCGUCAAUUUCCUACUGUGUUGCCACUAGUUUUCAAGGGGUUCUCACCAUCUUUUUAUGUGUUUCUCCACAAUAUAUUCUUAAGUACUUUGGUAUUCCAUAACAAUUUUCGCACUAGAUAGUACACAACAUAUGAUUGAGCAAAAAAUGCAUGAGAAGAAAACAAUGCAAGACAUAGGCGUUUCCAACUGCAAACAAAGUAACAUUUCCAUCAAUUGAUGGCAAGACAAUAAUUCACGGAUUGCAUAUAAUAUAUGUGUGUAUGUAUAGCCAGUGUUGUAAUUCUCAUAUGCAUCGUCCUCGACCUACGUUGGUAGGUGCUUACAUACAUAUGCUCAUAUAUUCACAUAUGAGUAGAACGAGAAGUAAAACCGAGAAAGCAGAGCUGCCGACAAAUGUGAACUAACAUGGCAUGUAUAUGUGUUACUUCAACUUGCACUUUAGGCCUUGCCAGAUUCCUCGCAGCCUGGUGGCCUGAAGGCAAUGAAGCUGACGCACUGCACCUGGCGCAUGUUGUCGAAGCCGAUGACACGGACAUAGGCGUCAGGGUACUCCUUCUUGACCUCCUCCACCUCGUUGAGCACCUGCGUUGCGUCGGUGCACCCGAACAUAGGCAGCUUCCACAUUGUCCAG
rnacentral:lncRNA from 1 species